UCCUAAAUGCUUUAUUUUUCAAUUGUUUAUUCCAUUGCUAGGCCGCUAGUGCUGAUUUAUCUAUGAUUUCUUUAUGCAGAUGCAAGACAUGUUGUGCAAUUUUCAAGCUUUCAAGGGCCCGAAUUCAGUCGAAAUUCAAUCCACAAACCCAUGAAAAAACCAAAGUUAUCGAGUCGCGUUAACAUCCAUAAAAACUUUUAUCUUUCAAGGGCUGAAUCAAAUGGCCUAAGCGCUCCAUUUUCUUUUCCACCUCUUGAAUCAAUAGCUCCGCUUUCUUCUCCUCAUAACAAUAUCCCUGCUCCAUUUUGUAUAUACCCACCAUCUACGCCCAAUCUUCCUUUUCAAAGCCCGCCUGGAGUUUCGCCAGGUCUAAGCCCACCUAGCACAGGCGUUCCCGCAGUUUCACCUGGUCUAAGCCCACCACAAUAUGUGCCAAGCCCACCUAGCACUGGAACUCGUACCCCGCCACCCUAUGGGCCAAGCCCACCAAAACUCGCUCCUGGCUCGCCAGUCUAUCAACCUCCAAUGGCUCACCCAACACCGGCUGGACCGCCACCGCCACCGCAUCAAAAUCCUCGGUUUCCGGUCUGGUGUGUUGCCAAGCCCACAGUGCCUGACUCGAUAAUUCAAGAGGCCAUGGAUUAUGCAUGCGGAACAGGAGCGGAUUGCAAGCCUAUUCAGACCAAUGGGUCGUGCUUUCAGCCCAAUACUUUGGUUGCACAUGCUUCUUAUGCUUUCAAUAGCUACUGGCAGAAGACAAAGAAUCGUGGAGGAACUUGUGAUUUUGGUGGGAUUGCCAUGCUUGUCACAACUGAUCCAAGUAAGUCCGGUCAAUAAUAUUUUUACACAAAAGAGAGUAUAAACGUUUCCACUUACACAUUUUAAAAUAUAGAUUUGAGAUGGGUCAACAUCAUACUAAUAUGAAUUUUAACUCAACUUUGACUUAUGUAAUAAAAUAAUAUUGUUUAGUCUCACAUCUGAAUUUUAAAAAGUGAGAACAUUUAGCGACAAAAAUAUAAGAAUUGCUUUUUUUUAGAGUUUGUAUAAGUGCAUAACCUUAUUGAAAUAGAAAAAGAAAUACAAAAUAAAAAGACAGUUAAAUUGAUUAAGAGGAUUGGUACCUGUCUAAAUUCUAAUAAUCUUCAUAUAAACUUUUACAAAUAAGAACCGGAGGCUUAUCCCACCAGGUAUAGAAGAAAAAAAAAAUUCAAUAUUAAUUGAGUAAUGGCUACUUGAACUUCUAAAUUUAACAAUAAAAACUAUAUAUAUAAAAAAAAAGAUAUCAAGAUGUUGGUAAUAGGGAAUAUACAUGAUCUAGACAGAAGAUAUGAAGCAUGUUAUGUAGCAUGGGGAUGGUAAUUUGUGGGCUUGGGCUGGGCUUUUCGAAGCCCAGGCUCACAUCAUUCAAACAAAGUCCACACUCUUUAAAAACCUGUCUAAAUUUGGACUGGUUGGGUUCGGGCUUUUUUUUUUUAAAAUUAAUUAUAAAAUAUUUUUUUAUUAAAAAAAUAUAUUUUAAUUAAAGAUAAUCAUCUAAUAUAUAAUAGAAUAAUAAUCCAAUACAUAAAUAUAUUAGUAAUACAACAUAAUAAAAUAAUAAAUACUAAUACAAAAAAUUAAAAUAAUUUAAUAUUUUAAGUUUUUUUAAUUUACAUUAAAUUUAUUUUUUAUUAAUACAAGUCUGAGUUUUUUUGCUAAGCCUUUAUACAGGCCCACUCCUUACCGGCGGGGCCUUAGUCCCGCGGGCCUUGGCUGGCCGCAGCCCGGGCCUUUUGCCACUCCUAACGUAGCAGGACCUAAAGUCCUAAUAAAUACAUUAACCAAAUAAAUUUUGCAAAUCUGAACCAUGCUUACAUUGUCUUCGAUCUUCAUGUUAAACUAUUAAUGUGAAAGUAUAUUUUGCUGCAAAAUCUACUCUGACAUUAUUAAUUAAGCUUAAAAUCAUAAUUAGCGCCUGGAAAAUUACAAAAAACCCCAUCAAUUUUAUUGCCAGCUAAUUACAGAGCCCAUUUGUCAAGACAUUGACAUCUUAACUAGCUAAUAAAUAAAAAUAUCCGUAUCUUAAAUAAUCAAAGUUCAUGGUGUUUCAUCUUGAAUUUAAGUUAUUUAACAGUCAAAAUUUUGUGCAUAUAUGCUUGUCGUUACCUUAGAUUAAUUAUAAUAUCUCAUUUUCCCCUGUUAAUCAAAUUCAUGACUCGUGGAUGGAAACCGAGAGCCCUGGUGCAUGAACUAUUUUGUAAAUCACGUGGACCCCUUUGUGCAUGAAACCACAAGCAAUUAAUUUGUCUUCUUCUUAUUUAUUUUUAUUUUUCGUUUUAUUUUACAGUGAUAUUAUUUGUUAAAAUGCUACAGAAAAAGGAAUAAAAUUACCUUGAUUGAUGGCAGCGAAGACGGCAAGGCCGUGAGUUAAUGAGUUUAGAUCUAGAGUUUUGUUUCUUUUUUUUUACUAUUUGAGUAUUUUUUUUUAUUUGAUUAAAUUAAAAUAUAUUUUGAUUUAAAAAAAAUAUCUCGAGUUUGGUUUUGGGUUCGGGACCUGAUAAAAUUUGUGUAUCUAAAUCCAAAAUAUAUUUGGGACUUGGGCUAAUUCUCGAAAUAUACUCAUUUGUAAUUUUGAAAUCUUUUGAAGAUCAAUACCUGACCUAAAUUAAUCGGAGGCCCAUGAGUAUGAUCCCAUGGAGAAUGUUGUCAUCCCUAGACAAAACGUUUUCAUUUCCAACAACAAUGAAAAAGAAAAUGUCGGUCUGUAGGACACAUAUAGAACAUCUAGACAGAAUCAUAUGCAUUUCGCGGAAAACAAAACUUAGCUUGAUUUUAUCUUUUGGUAUUUUGUAUUCAUUGGUCUAUCCAUACAAAUAAAUUUGUCAGGCAUUUUGACCGUUCAUAUGAAUACAAAUUCUCUAUAUAUGGGUAUAUUAAUGAACACAAAGAUUAUAUUGUGCUUAAAUUUCAUAAUAUUGUUAUGUAGUAUGUAUUAAUUUCCAAACCCUUAUCUGUCCAUUUUUUCAGGUUUCAGUGAUUGCAAUUUCAUCUCCAACUGAUACAGAGAGGAGACAUACAAGUAACCCAGCCAUUGUAAUUAAGCAACUUAUUUAGUUAUUUUGCCCUUCUUCUCUUUUUUUUUAAAAAAAAAUUCAAACCGAGAAUUAAAAAUAUUCAGUAUAGCAUUCAUUAUGUAUGUUGAAUACAAUACAGUAUUGUAUUUUCCGAUCAUAUUAAGAAAAUAGAUGUCAAGUUGUUUGAACAGUCACUCGCGGUUUAGAUGGAUUCACGAACAUAAAAUUAGAAGAAAGUAGCAAAGCCUUUCAUGUCAUUUCUACAUUUAGAGAAAUAUUGUAAAGCUAUGACUAAUUCUGAAAAUUAUUGUCUUUUGAUUUUAUGGUAGCAUAAAUUUUUAGGCGAUCAAAUAAUUUCUCUAACAAUUACUGUGAAACUUCAUGAUGAAAAAGACAUACAAAUCAAAAUUUUAACAUAUUUUUAAUAAGUGAUACGGCCAACGGAGUAAUAAAUUUAUUGGCAACACUGAACUCAGCAGUUCACCUCCCAAUUUAAUUGAGUAGCGUAAAAAUCUUCUCCAUCAAUAUGGGUAGAAUAGAUUAGAUAUUCUUUUGAUAUCAAGUGAGAGUAGAAAUUUGAAUUAUGCUAUAAUAAAUUGACAUGUGAUGCCAAAUCUUUUAGAGUGAUGAUACAAUUAUAAACUCUUGCAUAAAUUUAUCUUGUACAAAUUGAUGUGAAAUUAAUUCAUUAGUUGAAUAAAAAUAUAAAAUAAUAAAAAUAAAUCAUGUGGACUUAGAGAUAUUUAAUUCAAUUAAUUUUAUCAUGCCGCCACAUCAAUUUAUGUACAAAAUAAAUUUAUACCCAAAUUUAUAACUAUAUCAUUACUCAAUCUUUUAACAUGCCCCGUCAAAAUCCAGCAAAUGAUAAUAAAAUAAAAUAAAAAAUAAAUAAAUAAAAGAAGGCUAGGGCAGUGGCAAUGUACUUUUAUUGCUAGUGGGGUUAAAGCCUGUCUGAGCGAAGUAUGCGUAGUCUAUUUCUAUCUUCAAUGGGGUCCAAUUUGAAAAGAAGAGAAACGAAGAAAACAUAACAUCUUUUGAAGUUUUGUUCAAUCGGUAUCCAAAGCACAGGGAAAAAACAAGAUGGGUCCAAUGUCAAUACAUUCUCGCAUAAUUUUCCAUUAAUAAUUGCACGGCCUAUUUCCAUAUACAUUUCAUGCAAAAUUAAGAGUACAUGGGCCCUCGCCCCUUGAAAUUUCAAUGCAUUAUGUUGCAACUUGCAAGUUACCAAACUAUGCCAAAAUUAUUUUGUACAUUUGUGACCGACACCAGCUGGAAAGGAUAAUAGAUGGAUUAAUUUUAAUUUGCUUUUGCUAGGCUGCUACGCGAGCACGAAAUAAAAAUUAUUGAGUCCAGAAAGAAAGAUCUCAAUGUCUUUUUGUCAGCUUAUAGUUUUUAAAUGCAAAGACCUGUUAAAAAAAAAAUGCUAAGAAAAGAAGAUGUGGGUUAAUUAAUGAGUCACAUGCAAUUUGAAAUUUGAGCCAUAUCCUCUCUCAAUCACGGGCUCAACAGGGCACAAAAUGUUAAAAAUGGCCUCAAAUCAAUCAAGUACCUAUUUUCUGGAUCGAGUUAAUUGAAUCCCUUGUUGGGUCACUGUAGAAAAGAGUAUCCUCGAAAAUCCCUGUUGACACUUGACAGUGAACCCACAUGCCUACUACAGUCGGCUUUUGUCAAUAUGUUUACAAAGGUUUGGUAAAGUACAUGAAAGUAAAAAGAUAAUGCUUUUGUAAAAAGAAAAUUUUCUAAAAUUUUCUGAUGUAAGUAGGUUUUUAUUAAUUGACGUUCAUGAAUACAAGUUUUAUGAUCUGGCUAUGGAGAUUAGGUGUUUUGCAUCUCAGAUUGUGAAAGUGAAACAACUUAAAUCAAUAUAUCAUUUGUUUAACUAUCACAGCCAGCUAGCUAGCAUAAUUUUCUCAAUUGGUAAAAGAGGAAUUGUUUAAUAUCAAUAUGUCUAUUACUGAUUUGAGUUUGUCCCCCCCGAGCACUAUUGUCAAAUCGAGACAAAUUACGAAAAAUAAAAAAAAGAUAAUGCUUGAUCCAUUAGUUUCUGUUUUCCCUUUGUCUUUAUAAGAAGGCAUGCAUAUUCAUUCACUCCAUGCGUGAUUCAAUACUCUCUCUACUUCGGAGAGUUGUGGGAGUUUAAUUUUCACGAUGGGUAGAAAACAUCCUUUAGCUAAUUUCUUGAUUCUCCUCUUGAACUUGGGUACGUUGCUAUCUUCUUUAGCAUGUCCAUAUUGCCCUUAUCCUACUCCUCCCCCUCCGUGUCCCCCAACAUUUCCACCAAAACACCCUCCACAUGUAAAGCCACCUUUCCACCCCAAACCACCGCAUCACAAGCCACCCCAUGUCAAACCACCGCACAAGCCCCCGUAUGUUCCUAAACCACCUUAUUCCCCAAGCCCUAAACCGCCUUACGUGCCAAAACCACCUCAUACUCCAGUCCCUAGGCCACCAUAUUUCCCCAAACCACCUUACACACCAAGGCCUAAGCCACCAUAUGCGCCAAAACCACCUUAUACGCCAACCCCUAAGCCACCAUAUUUCCCCAAACCACCUUACACACCAAGGCCGAAGCCACCAUAUGUGCCAAAACCACCUUAUACGCCAGCCCCUAAGCCACCAUAUUUUCCCAAACCACCUUACACACCAAGGCCUAAGCCACCAUAUGCACCAAAACCACCUUAUACGCCAACACCUAAGCCACCAUAUUUCCCCAAACCACCUUACACACCAAGGCCUAAGCCACCGUACGUGCCAAAACCACCGUACACACCAAGGCCUAAGCCACCGUACGUGCCAAAACCACCAUACACACCAACCCCUAAGCCACCGUACGUGCCAAAACCACCUUACACCCCAACCCCUAAGCCACCGUACGUGCCAAAACCACCGUAUACCCCAACUCCUAAGCCACCGUACGUCCCAUCGCCACCUUAUACCCCUCGCCCUAAACCACCGUAUGUACCAUCACCACCUUAUACCCCUAGCCCUAAACCACCGUAUGUGCCAUCACCACCAUAUACCCCAAGCCCUACCCCACCAUAUGUACCAUCACCACCGUAUACCCCAAGCCCACCAUAUGUACCAUCACCACCGUAUACCCCAAGCCCUAGCCCACCACCACCACCAAGUGGAACACCGUGUCCUCCGCCGCCGCCACCAAAGGUGAGACCGUACCCUCCACCACCAUCACAAACUUGUCCCAUUGAUACUCUCAAGCUUGGUGCAUGCGUCGACGUGUUGGGCGGUCUAAUACACAUCGGUAUAGGCAGCAGUGCAAAGGACGCUUGCUGCCCCGUGCUGCAGGGGCUACUGGACUUGGAUGCUGCAUUAUGUCUUUGCACCACCAUUAAACUUAAGCUUUUGAAUAUCAAUCUUAUUAUACCGAUCGCCCUUGAAGUGCUUAUUGACUGCGGCAAGCAUCCGCCGCCCGGAUUCCAGUGUCCUGCCUAAUUGGUGACGCUUUCCAGCCAUGCAAUUGAUGAAUGCGACUUGUUUGUUUUGGAGAUUUUGUCAAAGAUAAUGACAUGUAAGUGCAUAAAGUGGAAGUACUUCAUGAUAUCGAAGUUUGUCUUAAUAUAUGUUUUGUUCCUCUUGUGCAUAUCAAACCAAUUAUCUUUGGAGCAAAAUCUAUGUUUUGAUGGAUCCAUACUAUCUGCAAGUUUGGGAUCAUGGGGUGUCAAAUAAUCGCUUAUUUGACCCAAAUUUUAUUUGAGUUGUCCAAUUAGUUGUAACCAUCAAAUAAUUUAUUAUCACACAUAAUUUUGAGAGUAAAUUCUCAAUUGACCAUUAAAAAAAAUAAUCACAACCGACAAAUUCAAAACAGAUACUAUCAUCGUGGAAAGAAAUAUUAAUUAUGCAUUUGGAUUCUGAUAUAAGAUACGCUGAUCUUUUGAUGAUAUCCAUUUUCGCGCCUACAUAAUUCAGAUUCAACCACAAUUUUAUUGUUAUCCAAUAGCUAUUAAUAAAAUAUUAUAUUAAAAAAAAGCACAAAACUUGACCGGCACUGAAUUUAUAUUCAUUGAUUAUACUAAUGGAACCUUUCAUUUGAUGAAUUUAAUUGUUCAAUGAAAAAUAACUAGCUGAAACAGUUGAAGACGGGGUGAUUUCUCACCUCGAAAAGAGAGAGAAUUCCCCCAAAGUGCCGCUUGAUAGGAUUUGAUUUAAUUUAAUUUAAUUUAAUUUUAUGCCUUGCCCUUAAAUAAUGUGGAGUAGAGAUUGCUCUUAUUAUUGAUUCAAAAUCAUUAGAUAUGCAUUAUUAUAAAAACUUUAUAGUAAUUAUUCAAUGAAAGAGAAUUAUUAUUAAUAUCAUUUUCUUUCCAGACUGAUUAAUCAAUGAUUGUUUUGCAGGAAUGGAGCAUUAUAUGAAUUUCAGUCCAAUAACAUUUAAACAGCUCUCUUUAAGAAUGAAUUUGAGUUUUAGGCUACACAAGAUAAUCUGCCGUAUCCCUUGAUUUAACAUUCUAGUUAUUAAUUGUACGUACACAAAAAAAAAAAAAAAUCAUGGAGUGAUUGAUUUUUCCCAAACAGUUAUACUGUAGAUCAUUAAAGAAAAUAUAAAAAAAUAAAAGUUGAAACGAGUGGCCUAAACAGUAAACUUUGGGUGAAAGUUACAGAUAAUAUUUAAUUACGAUGGAGUUUUUUUUCCCCCCUUUUUUGCAUUUCUGAAACGUGUUGCCUGAUUUAACAGAGAAAAGGGAAAAUUUGAUGGUUGACACUUGGUAAUGAUUUAUAAGUAAUUUAAGGAUUUUUCUAUAAUGCUGUAUGUACUUUUACAGCAUUAAUAGUGCAGUUAUUAUAAACCCUUUGAUUUGAGUGAUUUAAUCUUAGUCAUUUAUUUAAUAUAAUAAAUAAAUAAGUAAUUAAUUAAAAGCUAGCAAGUAACUUGUAAGUUGUAGGUAAAUAUUAGUUUUUUAAUUUUAAAUUAAUAUUAACUUUAUAGCAUUUAAUAUAAGUUAUCAGAACGAGAUGCAUGUAAUCCAAGUUGAUCAUCGAGUUCAUGAUCAUGACCCUGCUGCUUGGUCAAUUGAGAUCUUUCCGACAGUACCACAUGAAAAUUCAUUUUGUCGAGGAGCUGCUGAAGUUGUACAGGAAGAAACAGAAUCCAAUCUCUCUAGUCCGACCGGUACAUUUCUCCAGGUCGCCGCCCACCAGGGUCUGGCCGCGUUGGCAGUCGAAUUUGGCGGUGGCAUUCUCUGCUGGAGAACGGGAAAAUUCUCUUGUGCUCCGUGGAACUCUGUAGUGCAGCUGGAUUCAUUGCUUGCUGUGGUGGUUAUAUCUUAGAACGUAGAGGCAAAGCUAAAUUGGCUUGCUCAGAUUAUGACAGGAGUGGGAGGUGUUGCCACUGCCAGUAGAUUUAUAAAUGGUAUGAAAAAACUACAUUAAUAACUGUGCAAGAUCAUGUGAGAAGGAACCCGUCGAGCUGGAGAUGAUCAAAUCAAGGAAGGCAUUGAAGGGCGAGGCGGAGAGAAGGAGAACAGAAUCAGAGGCUGAGAUGACUCAGAUGACGAUGCAAACUCAAUUGCAGAUCGUCCUUUGUUGAGGGGAUGAAUUCGAGUCGAAAGAGGAAGCGCGAUGAAGAAGACGAAUCACGAGUUUCUCAGAGGUAAAAUUCUUGAACAUGUCAAUGGUUAAUCAUUCAGGAACUUGAGACACUCUUUAAGAAUCCAAUUUCCUUCAAGAACAUGAGAGAAAAAACCGAUGGUUAAAUUUAUGAGAUAAAUAAAGAGAUUUUAUUUUAUCAAAUUUUUUAUCUCUUUUUUAAUCUAAAACAACCUUUUCAACCGGUUUGUUAACCGAUUAUAGUAUUUUUUAAAUGAUUAAAUUUUUCAUUAAUAAAAAUAAUGUGUACCGUUGAUUAGAUCUAAUGGCAUAUAUUUCUUACACUAUUGAUGCUGUAAAAAAAAUUACGGUAUCAUAAAGGGACUCGUAAUUUAAUCCUAAGUGUUUAGGGAGAGCAGUGACCUCUUGAAAAAUCCUCUUGUUACACUUUUUUUUUUCAUUUUUUUCUACUCCUUUAUUUAUUUAUUUUAAAUCCUUAAUUAAUUAUAAUACAUAUAUAUAUUUUUUUUUCCAAAAAAGUUUCUAUCAAAUUGAUAACAUGUAGAUACACAAUGUCAGAAGGAUUUCUAUCCUUGGUAUCAGUCAUUGUGGAACAAUUCAAAUGAAUAUACAGACAACGAGAAAGAGGUAUCAAUACCCCCUCAGAUUUCUCACAAUUACUAACACAUGCGAGGAUUGCUUUUAUUAUUAACAGUUACAAACCCCCUCUAAAUGGAGUUAGCUCUUUUCGAUAGCGGAAAGCAGUGGUAUUACCAUCGUGGUGGGGCAAAAUUUAGAAACUGUAUUUAGGAUAGACUACGAUAAAAAUAUAAAAAGACAUCAACUUUUUCAAGAAAACGGGCGACGAGCUAGUUUGGUUGGGAAUACUAUAAUUUUUAAAAUAAUUGUAAUUAGUAUUACAGUAAAAAUUAUUAAUUAUGAAGAAAAUCAAUUAAAUAUUUAAUAAAAUUUAUUUUUUAAAAAUGUUAUGAGUUAUAAAAGCAGUCAUAUAUAUUUAGUAAAUUUAACUGUUAAACUACUGUAAGAAUAUAAAUGAUUGAAUUAGAUGUUAAGAAAAAUGUAUUUAGAUAUUUAUAAACAUGUAUAUAUAUAUAUAUAUAUAUUAUUGUGUAUACAUAAUAAUUGAUAACUAGAAAUAAAUAUUUUAUAUUAUUAAUUUUAUUUUUAUCUUGUUAUCUCAAUAUAAUUGGUAAUAAUAAUAAUCUCUUUAAAGUUAAUGAUUUUAUUACCUAAUUAAUAAGGAUAAUUUUAGAUUUUUAUAAUUUAUAUAAGGAUACAUAUGAAAUUGUAUACAAUAUAAAGUUGAUUUUCAAAAUCAAAUUUUAAAAAGCUACUCAUUUCUUACUUUUCAAGUGCAUCCGAAAAAUUGGAUAUUUGGAUCUGGUUAAAUUUUAUUUUAAAUUAAAAACUAAAUUAAAAAUAUUUAUUAAAAUUAAAUUAAAAAUUAAAAAUUAAAAUUUAUUUGUCAAUUUAUGUUGUUGUUGUAUGCUAUUCAUGUUGAAUUAUUAAUUGUUGAAUUAUGAUUGAAUUUUAUUUGAUAUUAUUAGGUAAAUUAUUGAAGGUUAUUUUAAAUUAAAAGUAAAUAUUAAAAAUUAAAUUGUAUUUGUGGAUCUUUAUGAUGUUGUUGUAUGUUACUCAUGUUUAAUUAUUAGUUGUUGAAUUAUGAUUGAAUUUUAUUAGGCAAAUUAUUGAAUUUUUAAAUUAUAUGUUAAAUUAUUGAAUUAUGACUUUUGCAGAUCUAGAUAUCCAAAAUAUCUGCCCACAUCUGUUGCGGAUAUAACCUGUAUCCGGAUUCACAUAUUUUUUUGCGGAUUCAGAUGUAGAUCCAAAUGUAGAAAUGUAAUGCAGAUAUAGAUGCAGAUGCACCUAUAUCAGGAUUCGGAUCCAGAUUUUGUCAACCCUAUUUCCCGCACUUUAAAAUUCUAGACCAAAAAACUACUAAUAUAUAUAGGGAAUAAUCUUUGAGUGAUAAUUAUAGAUUAUAAGAUUGUGGGGCUUUGAUUUUUUUUAAAAUUAUAUAAGUGUUUAGUUGAAUUUUUAUUGAAAAAAAUAAUUUUAACUUGGGUUAUUUAUGUAUUUUCAAUUGAAUAGGGGUUUAUAAAUACUUUUGUGGGGGUGUUACUAACAAUACUUCUUUUUCUUUUGGGGCGUGGGGCGUGGGGCGUGGGCUAUAAGUAUGGGUCAUGGCGAUCUAGCAUGUCCUCAUUGGCACCCUAAAAAAAUCCUCUUAGAAAUUUCAUUUUCAAUUAUAUUCUAUUUAGUGGUAAAGAUAAUAUUUUUUUCCCAUUAAAUAGACACUAAUUUCAUUUAUAAAUAUCUCAAGUUUUAAUAAUUUUCUCACUCUUGAAGUCUUAAUAUUUGUAUUCUUCUCUUCAAACUUUCUUUAUUAUUUAAUUUCUAUAAAAAAAUCUAAAAGAGAAAAAGUAAGAAAAACCUUAUACUUAGAAAAAGUAAGAAAAAGCUUAUUAUACAUAUAAGCUUUGGGUGGAGCGAUUAGUUUGAGAAUCCUCAAAAUUAUUUGAAGUGGGAUAAAAUUUUAUUUAGAGUAAUGAUAUAGUCACAAACUCUUGUACAAACUUAUUUUGUACACACUGAUGUGGCACGAUAAAAUUGGCUAAAUUAAAUAUCUCUUGACCCACAUGAUUUAUUUCUAUUAUUUUAUAUUUUCAUUCAACUAAUGAAUUAAUACCACAUCAGUUUGUGCAAAAUAAGUUUGUACAAGAAUUUGUGACUGUAUCAUCACUCUUUUAUUUAAUUUAUUUUCCAUUAUGUUGUAUCCUAAUUUGGUUGCUAUGUUUAUUACAAGAAUUUUGUUUUCGAUUAUAGAAUUACUAUGCAAGUAAAGUAAGUUGCAAAGAGAGAGAGAAAAUGUAAGUGGGUUAAUCUUAAUUCUAUUAAUAUUUGUCCUUAAAUAUGUAAUAUAAUAUAAGCAGAGUUUUAUGAGAUUAAUAAAGGGAUGCCAAUAGUCGACUGGUUAGGCGGGACCCCUACCUGUAAUAUAAAUCAUAAAAUGAAGCGAAUACACAAGGAGGGGGACAUAAACCAAAACCUCAAAGAGUAACUAAAAAUACACACGAAUAACUAAAAAAGAAUAAAGACAACAAAAAGAAAAGGAAAACCAUAAAUGCCAGCAUCUUAUGUGAGAAACAAUCUAUGCAUCCAAAUGGAGAAUACCAGAUAAGUCUGUAGGAAGAUCUUAAGGACAUAAGAAACACUGACUAGAUGAGACCAUGCCCAAUUGACCAAAAAAUUAGCAGCAGAGGUAGCCUUAUGAAACAGUCAGCUCUUAUAGUUUAUACAUGAGCCAACCUACUAAAUUUUUCAUUCAAUGUUAAACUUAUCUUGCCAAUUAUGCCAAUGACACAAUCUUGGGCGUUUAUAUAAUUUCAAUAAGAGUGAUAAAAGAUUUUGAUUGCAACAAAGUAUUUAUACAUAUUGUAUUUAUAUCAAUUAAUUGAGUAAUGACUCUAGCAUGGUUUGAACCCUCCCGACUAUAUAUAUAUAUAUAUAUAUAUAUAUAUAUAUAUAUAUAUAUAUAUAUAUAUAUAUAUAUAUAUAGAAAUGUUUAAAUCCAGAAUUUUAAAGUGCGGAAACGUCCGGGAAAAUGUAUAAACCGUGCGGUUUAAGCGCUUUAAGUUUUCCCGGACUUUUCCCGCACUUUAUGAUCCCGGAUAAAAAAACUACUAUAUAUAUAUAUAUAUAUAUAUAUAUAUAUAUAUAUAUAUAUAAGAGUGCUGGUAUAACAAUAUUGUAUAAUAAAUAUUUAAUUAGUUUAACAUUCGUAUUUAAUAACCACCAAUAAAAGUCUUGCAUUUUGAUUAGAUAAGGUAUAAAAGGGUUGCAGUUUUUAUUUCAUAUUGUAAUGAUAGUACUUUUAAAAUACAGUAUAAAAAUAAGGAUUAGAUUCCUCUCCUGGUUUAAGCAUUCAUGACCUUUUAAUAAUCUUAUUCCAUAUGUCAUGUAGUAAUAGUGUAUGGAUAGAAUAUAUUUUAAAUUUAUUAACCACCAAUGAACACAUAAAUUUUUAUUUAGAAGAAGUUCAAAUCAACAGAUUUUAAUCCGUGAACAUAAUAGAGAUCGAAGAGAAACUACAACUCAAAUAAGAAAAAAAGCCUUACAACUUCAUUUAACAAAUAUUAAAAAAGCCUUACAACUUCAUUUAAUAAAUAUUAAAAAAGCCUUACAACAUUUAUAUUAGAUUCACGAGCAACAAGGGAUCAAUAUUGAACAUGACAUGCAAUUAUUACAUCGAGACAUGAAUGUGUCUUCAAGUAUUAUACGAACUUGAAGCUCUCACACGUUAUUGUUAUUCUUUUAUGAGAAAAUAAACGAAACUAGUAACAUAUAAAAUAUUAAUAUGGUCAAUUAAUAUAUAUAUGUAUGUAUGUAUAUUUCCCUCAGAAACUGCAUAUGCGUGGGGCGUCACCAAUUAAUUAAUGGGUGGACACUGAAAUCCUGCUGGCGGAUACUUGCCACAGUCGUUGACAAGUACUUGCAGGGAGAUGGGUACGAGAAGAUUGAUGAGAUUUGGAGCCUUAAUUCUAAUGGCAGUGCAAAGACAUAUUGCAGCAUCCAAAUCUACUAGCCCAUGAAGCAAUGGGCAGCAUUUCUCCUUAGCACUGUCGCCAAGACCAAUGUGAAUUAAACCACCAAGAACAUCGACACAUGCACUAAGCUUGAGAGCAUUAAUGGGACAAGUUUUUUGUUGUUUUGGUGGCGGUGGGUAUCUCACGUUUGGUGGUGUUGGUGGCGAUUUUACAACUGGAGGAGGAGUUGGUUUUUCCUUUGGCGGUGGUGGUGGUUUCACAACUGGAGGAGGAGGAGUACUGGGUUUCACCUUUGGUGGUGGUGGUGGUUUUACAACUGGAGGAGGAGGAGUGGUUUUCACCUUUGGUGGGGGUGGUGGUUUUACAGCUGGAGGAGGAGGAGUUGGUUUCACUUUUGGUGGUCGGGGCGGCGGCUUAGGGCUCGGCGAAUGAGGCGGUGGGGGACAAUUUGGUGAAGAAGGAGGAGGAGGGGUUGGUUUGGAGCAGUCACAAGCUAAAGAAGAGAGCAAAGCACCCGAGUUCAGGAGGACAAUCAAGAAACUAGUUAAUUGAUAUUUGCCCAUGAUGAAAUAAUUUCGAAACUCUCUAAUGAACUAGCUAGCUAGGGUUUGGAAUGCAUUCACUAUUGAAUGAGUGCCUUUUUAUAGAGAGUAAGAAGUUUUGGAUUUUUAAAAUUUUUCAGUUUUAAUUCGUUGAUCCAUAGACUUAAGGGCAAAGUACAACCCAAGCCAACUCACGAAUGGACAGAUAGACAGACAUUAUAUAUUUUUUUCUUUAAUGCUUGGAACAUGGGAUUGAUUAUCGUUUUAAGGAAGAAGACUCGAUUGAUUAUUUAACCAAAAAGUUGGUAUAGUUAAUUAAGCGUAUUGUUCUUAUAAUUUGAAACGUAAAAUUUGCAAUUAAUCUCUAGCAAAUGCAAAACUUAAAACUCUAAUAUAACUUCUGCAUUAGAAUUUCGAAGGGCGUGGGGACCUGUACUCUCAAUUUCACAUGAAUAUUUGCAAGCUGUUCAAUCAUUGAAGACGAAUGCAAGCAACAAGCAUCUUGCGGGGACACUUCUUCAUUUUUCUUUGGGCCGUUACAUGAUAACAAUAUUUAUAGUUAUAUUAUUAGCCCAUUAACUAAUCUUAAUAUUAGAUAUUUUAACCUAUUAACUAAUCUUAAUAUGAGAUAUUUUUGUUAGUAUUUUUUACUAGUCCUUGUCAUGUAUAAAAUAGACCCACUAGUACACAAGUAAGAGUCUAUCUCAUGUAAAAAUUAACUCAAGAGUUGAGAGUUGUCUCAAGUUUAUAUUUAAUUCAAUAAGUUUUCUCAACCUAUCUGAGAUUUUUUCCUUAUCAUCCCCAUCACUUGCAAACCAAUAUAUCUUUUGUUUUUUUGGUCUUUAUCAUGCGGAAAAAUACAUAGUAUGUGCCAACUUGUGCAUAACUAUGAAUCUAAUACCAUAUAAAGGUAUGUGAGUCUAAUUCAUACUCUAAAAUUAGCUCAAGAGUUAAGGAUUACCUCUAAUUUAUAUUACUAGUUCAGUAACUAAUCUCAGCAUAUGGUGGCUCCACCAGAGGAAAGUGUUAUGCACCUAUAUACAUAAAUUAUAAUGAGUAAAAUUAUUCAUGAUGAUACAACCACAUUAAUGAAUAAUCAGUAGUAAUUGAACCAUGAAAGUGUCAUUCUUCGUUUAAGGGUGCCUUUGACAUAUUGUUUGCACACACAAAAAAAAAAAAAAAAGCGCUCAAAAAAGCCCCAAUUAAGGAUGUCCAUUGUACCCACAUAUGUCAGCAUAUGUGAGUUCUGAAACUCUUCAAAAAAAUACCUUUAUAUUAUUCGGAGUAUAAAUUUAUCUUGGAGAGUUUGGAGCAGAUUUGAUUUGGGUUUUCGUAAAAUUUAAUAUUCAAACAACUACUACUUCUUUAAAAGCAUAAAUAAACAAAUAAAUAAGGUGAUUAAUUUUUGUUUAAUUAGUGUGGUCAUUAAUUAUAGCGAUAUUGAAAUUUUAAUGCAUGAUCUUCUAAGAUUUGUUUUAGUUUUGAGAUUUCAGAUCAUAGUUGUUUGAUUUAUAUUUUAUUAUUUUGUGUUUUCAAAUCUUCGUGUAAAAAUGUCAACUACGCUUGCGCAAAUCUUGCUUUGUCCAUCUUUAAAAGAUCUGAAGAAGCUUCGAUUGCUCCCAAACUUUUAGAAAGAAUUCAAAAAUAUUAAUAUAUACCGCAUGAUAUGCGCUCACUGUUUAGAAAAAAAAUGUACUGCUAGAGUUUAUUUUUAAAUAUUCUCAAACUGCAUUCUGUUUUCUUACUAUAUUUUGGGAAAAUCAGUAUAAUUGAGAUGCGAAUAAGGUCGACAAUUAUACUAUUAAAAUGCAGUACAUGUGUUAUUUACGCAUUGCUUAUCUAAAUAGUUUGUUUUAUUUGCGCAUUGUUUAUAUAUAUAUAUAUUUAUUUAUUUAUUUAUUUAUUUAUUUAUCUAUAAUGUAUAACGAGGAUUCCCAAUCUUUUAAAUAUAAUAAAUAUGAAAAAUCGUUCUUCGUUUCUUGCAUGGCCAUUUUAAUAAAGCAGGUUAAGUUUAGGGAUGGCAAAAUCCUCCACGGGUUUGGGGCCCCAUGGAGCCCCACCCCAAAUGGAGAAAUUUUUUAGUAAUUUUUGGGGAAUGGGGUGGGGAAUGGGGGAAAAGUAAUCCCCAAAUUGUUAACGGGGUGGGGUUUGGUAUUGCACUCCCCACCCCACUCCCACCCCAAUCCCCAUUAUAUAUAAAUAUGUUUUUAAUUCUUAUUUAAUAAUUUGUAUUUUAUCAACUAUAAUGUCAAUUAAUGAUUUUUUUUAAUUUUUAUGUAAUAUAAAUAAAAUAUGAAUAAAAGAAAAUUCUACAAUAUUUUUCAACUUUAAAACAUUAAUAUAUUUUCUUUUCUCUUUUAAGGUGCUGCUUUCUUUAAAUAUUUUUCACUUUUAAUAUCAUUUUAAGAUAUUGUUUCAAAUUUUUAGAGAUUUUUUUUUAAAAUUAAAUACUUUAUAAUAUUGUGAUGAUUUUAUCUUAAGUCUCUAAUUUUUAAUUUACUGAAAUCAUAUUUUUAUAUCUACUAUAAAAUAUGUAAAUGGGGAAUGGGGUGGGGAUGGGGGAAUCAUUCCCCACGUGGGGAUUCCCCAUCCCCAACCCACUAAAUUUAUUGGGGAAUGGAGGCAAAAAUUUUUAAUGGGGUAGGCAUCCCCACCCCCACCCCGCCCCAUUGCCAUCCCUAGUUAAGUUAACGUGAAGUUACAUUUUUGAUCAUUCUGCCAUCUGAAGUAAGACCACAAAGUCGUGACUAUUGUGUAAAAGAAAAGUGAAAACAGAUCAAAGGUGAACAGUUUGACCUAUAAUUUCUCUGUUAACAAAACUAUAAUUAUUUUUUAUCGAACCCAAAAAAAGUAAAAAAAAAAAAAAUGUGUCCAAUAAGCGUUUAGCCUCAAUAAUUGCAUGCAUGCACAGAUAAUGUUCAUGAAAAAUCGACAGUGUUGAUGCAAGAAUUUUCGCGCACCAGCAGGAAGGCCGAAUAACCUUGGUGGUGAGGAUCCUGGGUAAAAUACCGGAGAUGGAAAAUGCGGUUGCUAGCUUUUGAAUUGCUUUAAUUUCAUAGAUACGAAAUAUAUCCAAUGAUACAGUAAAGAAAUAACAUAUGAUAGUAACAAGCCAAUUAGCUAGAUCUCUUCUUUUUAAGCUGACCUUGGUCUUUGUCACCUUGAUGAUAAGAUCCUUCGUGGUAGAAAUAGUAAAGAACAGGUGAGGAUCUCCUCAUGAAGCUAUUUCGAAGUCAAUAAGUAAUGGUGAGGUCAGCAAGAACCUUCUCUCUUAAUUAGUUGCUCUUCCCUCUCUCCUCGAUCAUCUCUUGAAUUAUAUGGGUGCUAUCUCCACGAGUUAAAAGACUUAUUUGUGUUCUUUUUUGUAGAGAAAAUAAAAUAUUCCUGUGCUACGUUCCUCAUUCUUAAUCCACCAUAGUUCUUCUGUUGGACAUUUGUUCUAUUUUCGUUAGUUGUGAUUCCUCAUCCUUAAUCCAUAACUCUUCUAUUGGACACAUGUUCUCCUUUCGUUAGUUAUGUUGAGAUUUCUUAAUGAAAUUUUACUAUAAGAAAAAAAAAAUAGUAAGUAGAGAUUAAUAAAAUCACCUUAAGUACUUUUUUGAGAUAAAAGUCACCUCAUGUACUUUAGAAAUGAUUAACUUUGUUUUUAAGUUAUUUUCAUAUUUAGAUAUUGAGCAUGCUGUCGUAUAUUCUAUAUUUUUUUUAUAUCAACAUGGUGGCAUAUUUUUUUUCUUUUUUUUUUUUGGUAUAACAGAUAAUAUAUGUGCCCUCGCCCCUCGCUCUUUGAAAUUCUAAUGCAUCGGAUACAAGGUAAUUCAUAUAAAAAAGACAAUUUUAAUAAGAUAAUCUUCGAAUACUCUCAUUGAUGAUGUGAACCCUUACCCGCAGCCUCUGCAGUAAAGCCUUCACUAGCUGGCUAAGCCCUUAAUUAGUAAUGACACAUUAAUAAUAUGAUCAAUCGACCAUUGAUCUUCUUGGUAUCACAAUGAAUCCCAUGUUUCAAGCAUGCAAUGAAAGAAAAAGGUAAAUGUCCGUUUAUCUGCCCAUUUGUGAGUUUGCUUGGAUUUUCCUUUAAGCCCUCGAGUCAAUGAAGCAAUCAAAAAUCAUAAAAAAGUAAAACGACCCAAAUACAAAACUCUCUCUAUAAAAAGGCAUCCAUUCAGUAGUGAAUGCACACCAAACCAGCCAGUUCGUUAGGGAGCUUUUGAAAUUAUUUCAUCAUGAGCAAAUAUCAAUUAACUAGUUUCUUGAUUGUCCUCUUGAACUUGGGCACUUUGGUCUCUUCUCUAGCUAAUGACCACUCAUAUAAUCUUCCUCCUCCUCUUCCUUCACCAAGCUGUCCCCCACCGCCUCAGUCGCCGAGCCCUAAGCCGCCGCCGCCACCACCACCAAUUGUUUACCCAACUCCUUGUCCCCCAGUUACAAAACCACCACCCACGCCAGAGGUGAAACCCACUCCUCCUCCUCCAGUUGUAAAACCACCACCCACGCCAGAGGUGAAACCCAAUCCUCCUCCUCCAGUUGUAAAACCACCACCACCACCACCAAAACAACAAACUUGUCCAAUUGAUGCUCUCAAGCUUGGUGCAUGCGUCGAUGUCCUUGAAGGUUUAAUUCACACUGGUCUUGCUCGUGAUGUUAAGAAGAAAUGCUGCCCAUUGCUUGACGGGCUAGCAGACUUGGAUGCUGCAAUAUGUCUUUGCACUGCCUUAGAAUUAAGGCUCUAAACCUCAUCGAUAUCCUCGCACCCUUCUCUUUGCAAGUACUUGUCACCGACUGCGGCAAACAUCCGCCAGUAGGAUUUCAGUGUCCUACCAAUUAAUUGGUGACGCCCCAUGCAUACCAUGCAGUUUGCGUGAAAAGGAGAUCUUAAUCGAUCAUAUUAAUAAUUGCAUGUUACUAGUUUCGUUUAUUUUCUCAUAAAAAAAUAAUAAUAAUAACGUGUGGGAGCUUCAAGUUAGUAGUACUUGAAGGCAUGCACGUGCGUGUGUGCGUAUGCCUUAUCCAUCAGUGAUAUCGCUUAUCAGUUGUAAAACCAAUAUUGUAUGUUGUGCAAUCCAAAUAAGGAAAAAAAAAAUGAAUGUUGUGGAAUAAAUAUUAGGGAAAAGGACAUUCAACCCUUCAACGUUUAGGAAAAUAGACAAAAAACCCUUCAACGUUUCAAAAAGGACUUAUAACUCCCUUUCCGUUAAUAAACACCGUUUGUUUUAACAGUAAAUUAUUUUUAAUUUUUAAUUACUAUUAUACCCUUAUAAUAAAUAUAAAUUAAUAUAUUGAUUUGAGACAUGUCACAAUUAAUAAUUUUUUUUAAACUAAAAAUUGAGAUACAAUUACAUUUUUGCCCAAAUUAUUUGCUACAAAUUAUACAUUUCUAAUGAUCAAACCUUUCAUAUGUGAUUAUUACUAAUAAAACGAAAUUUGAUUAAACCCUUUUUCUUUGAGGAAUCAAAACCAUAUUAUUAUUGUUAGAAAGGUAUAAUUUAUAGUAAAUAAUUUUGGCAAAAAAAUAAUUGUAUCUCAAUUUUAAGCUUUUAAAAAAUUAUUAAUUGUGAUAUAUCUCAAAUUAAUAUAUUAAUUUUUUUAUUAUAAGGGUAUAAUAGUAAUUAAAAUUUAAAAAUAAAUUUACUGUUAAAACAAACGGUGUUUGUUAACGGAAAGGGGGUUAUAAGUCCUUUUUGAAACGUUGAAGGAUUUUUUGUCCAUUUUCCUAAACGUUGGGGGGUUAAAUGUCAUUUUUCCUAAAUAUUAUUUACUGACAAAUUGUUUGGCAUUUAUUUUAGGGAGAGUGACAUUUUAUUUCUUCUUAAAAUUUAUUUCUAACACUUUAACUUUUAAUAUAUGUUUAAUACACCAUUUUAUUCAGAUGUUUGAACAGUUACUAACAAAAUACAGUUUUGAACGGUAAAAGUUAUAUUUCAAUAAAUAACUUAACUAAUUUUUAAUCUGCAGAGGUUUGGGCUAGCCAAUUUGGACAUGAGAAUGUCACCUUUAUUCUUCAACGACCUGUAUUUUUUCUAUUGUCGUUUUAACUCCAAAGAUGAAAUGAGAUAAAGAAAAAAAAAAAAAAGCUACUAGGGACUAAAUAGGUAAAUAGAAAGUUUAGGAGGGAUUAAAAUACUAUUCUUCUUUUAGUUUCUAUAUUUUAAGUUAAGUAUUUAUUUAAUCCCUAUUUUUAAAAAGUAUCUCAAGACAAUCAUGUUGCAAAACGUGUUACACUCCUAUCCUUUCUUUAUUUUUUAUUUUUCAAUAAUACAUUUGCAAUAAUAUUCUUGAAGAUAUUAAUAAAUAGGAAAAAAAUAGAAACUUAUCAAAUUAACCUUAAAAGUAAUAUAAAAAAUUACACAAACUUUUAUAUUAUUAUUUUACGUUUAGGAUUAAUUUAAUAAAUUCAUUUUUUAUAAAAUAAUUAUUCAUAAGAUUGUUGUAAGGUUAUUAAAAAUUAUUUUAAUUGACUGAUAUUAAUUUGUUUAUAAAUCAUUAUUAGUAAAAUUGUUGCACGGUACAAAAAAUACUAUUUCUUUCACAUAGAUAUUUAUUGGUUAAUUUACUAAUAAAUGACGAAUAAUUAAUUUACCAAUUAACUUUUUUAUAGAUAAAUUAAUUAAUGUCAAGAAUAUUGUUGGAAGGGCUAAAUAGAAAGAAAAACUAAGGGUAAGAAUGUAACGUAUUUAACUACAAGAGUGUUUUGAAGUAUUAUAUGGGUGCCAAAAGACUUAUUUGUGUUAUUUCCACGAGUUAAAAGACUUAUUUGUGUUCUUGUUUGUAGAGAAAGUAGAAUAUUUAUGUGUUAUGUUUCUCAUUCUUAAUCCAUAACUCUUCUGUUGGACAUGUGUCCUAUUUUCGUUGGCUGUUGAUUUCUCAUCAUUAAUCCAUAACUCUUCUAUUGGACAUGUGUCCUACUUUCGUUAGUUGUUGAGAUUUCUUGAUGAAAUUUUGCUAUGAGGAAAAAUAUAAAAUAGUAAGUAAAGAUUAAUAAAAUCACCUCAAGUAUUUUUUUGAGAUAAAGGUCAGCUCAUGCGCUUUAGAAAUGAUCAACUUAGUUUUUAAGCUAUUUUCAUAUUUAGAUAUUGAGCAUGUUGUCGUAUAUUCUAUUUUUUUAUAUCCACAUGGUGGCAUUUUUUUUUUUUUUUUGGGGGGUAUAACAGAUAAUAUAUGUGCCCUCGCCCCUCGCUCUUUGAAAUUCUAAUGCAUCGGAUACAAGGUAAUUCAUAUAAAAAAGACAAUUUUAAUAAGAUAAUCUUCGAAUACUCUCAUUGAUGAUGUGAACCCUUACCCGCAGCCUCUGCAGUAAAGCCUUCACUAGCUGGCUAAGCCCUUAAUUAGUAAUGACACAUUAAUAAUAUGAUCAAUCGACCAUUGAUCUUCUUGGUAUCACAAUGAAUCCCAUGUUUCAAGCAUGCAAUGAAAGAAAAAGGUAAAUGUCUGUUUAUCUGCCCAUUUGUGAGUUUGCUUGGAUUUUCUUUCAAGCCCUCGAGUCAAUGAAGCAAUUAAAAUUAACGAAAAAGUAAAACGACCCAAAUUCAUAACUCUCCCUACAAAAUGGCAUCCAUUCAGUAGUGAAUGCACUCCAAACCAGCCAGUUCGUUAGGGAGUUUUUGAAAUUAUUUCAUCAUGAGCAAAUAUCAAUUAACUAGUUUCUUGAUUGUCCUCUUGAACUUGGGCACUUUGGUCUCUUCUCUAGCUAAUGACCACUCAUAUAAUCCUCCUCCUCCUCCCCCCGUUACAAAACCACCACCCCCCCAAAAGUUGAAACCCACUCCUCCUCCUCCGGUUUUAAAACCACCACCGCCGGCGCCGCCAAAGCUGAAACCUCCUCCUCCUCCUCUAGUUGUAAAACCACCACCGCCGGCGACGCCAAAGGUGAAACCUCCUCCUCCUCCUCCAGUUGUAAAACCGCCGCCGCCGCCACCGCCAAAGGUGAAACCUCUUCCUCCUCCUCCAGUUGUAAAACCACCACCACCGCCGCCAAAGGUGAAACCUCCUCCUCCCCCUCCAGUUGUAAAACCACCACCACCACCAAAUGUGGGAUACCCACCGCCACCAACACAACAAACUUGUUCAAUUAAUGCUCUCAAGCUUGGUGCAUGCGUCGAUGUUCUUGGUGGUUUAAUUCACAUUGGUCUUGGCGACGGUGCUAAGGAGAAAUGCUGCCCAUUGCUUUAUGGGCUAGCUGACUUGGAUGCUGCAAUAUGUCUUUGCACUGCCAUUAAAAUUAAGGCUCUGAGUCUCAUCGAUAUUCUCGUACCCAUCUCUUUGCAAGUACUUGUCAGCGACUGUGGCAAACAUCCGCCAGCCGGAUUUCAGUGUCCUAUCAAUUAAUUGUUGACGCCCCAUGCAUAUCAUGCAGUCUACGUGAAAAGGAGAUCUUAAUAGAUCGUAUUAAUAAUUGCAUGUUACUAGUUUCGUUUAAUUUCUCAUAAAAAAAAUAAUAAUAAUAACGUGUGAGAGCUUCAAGUUAGUAGUACUUGAAGGCACGUGCAUGUGUACGUUUGUCUUAUUCAACAAUGAUAUCGCUUAUUAAUUGUGACACCAAUAUUGUAUGUUGUGCAAUCCAAAAAAGAAAAAAAAUGAAAAAUGAAUGUUGUGGAAUAAAUAUUAUUUAUUGAUAAAUUGUUGGCAUUUUUUUUAGGGAGAGUGACAUUUUAUUUCCUCUUAAAAUUUAUUUUUACCAGUUUAAUUUUUAGUAGAUGUUUAAUACCCUAGUUCAUUCUGAUGUUUGAACAGUUAUUAAAAAAAUACACUUUUGAAAGGUAAAAGUUACAUUUUAAUAAAUAAUUUAACUAAUUUUAAUUUGCAGAGGUUUGGGCUAGCCAAUUAGGACAUGAAAAUGUCACCUUUAUUCUUCAGCAAUGUAUUUUUUUCUAUUAUCAUUUUAACUCCAAUGAGGAAAGGUGAUAAUAAAAAAAUUAAAAAAAAAUUAGCUACUAGGGAUUUAACAGGUAAAGAGAAGGUUUAGAAAGGAUUAAAAUUUUAUUCUCCUUAUAUUUCCCAUAUUUUGAGUUAAGUGUUCUUUUAGUCCUUAUAUUUAAAAACUAUCUCAAGACACCUUGUUAAUUAUUAUGUUGCUCUCGUAUUCUUAAUUUUUCUAUUCUUUUACAAUAAUAUCCUUGUCAUAAUAUUCCCGAGGAUGUAAUAAUAUCCUUGAGGAUAUGAAUAAAUAGAAAAAGUAAUAAUUUAUCAAAUUAACCAUAUUAUUAUUUUACUUUUAGGAUUAAUUUAUUAAAUUCAUUUUUUAUAAGACAGUUAUUCAUAAGAUUGUUGUAAAGAUAUUAAAAAUUAUUCUAAUUGGCUAAUAUUAAUUGUUAUAAAUCAUUAUUAAUAAAUUUGUUGCACAUGUACAAAAAAUACUACUUUUUUCACACUGAUAUUUAUUGGUUAGUUUACUAAUGAAUAACUAAUAGUUAAUUUUGUUAGCCUAAAAUGGUCACACAUAUUGUAAUUUUGAUGAUAACAAACACGUGUCUUAAGUGAUUUGAAAAAUAUUGUAUUUCACAUUUUGACUAGUUAUUGAAAGAUAAUAUUUAUAAGGAAGUGAAUCACGUGAAAUCAAACUUAAGACACUCAACGGAAAAUGGCGUGAUCAAGAAUAAAGUUUAGAGCUUAACAGACUCAUUAUUGCAACAAUUCUUGUAAAGCCGGUAUGAUUUAAUAUAUGUAUGACUUAGUAUUUGAGAAACUCAAGAUUUUUAAUAAAUCAUCAUUUUUCAUAAACUAAAGGUUUUAUAAUUAUAAGCCAAGUAUUUUAUGAAGUUAGUUAUUUUUCAAGAUGUGGACUAAAAUGAAAAAGUUUUGUAAUCUUUGAUUUUAAUAAGUGUUGUUUUGAAUUUUGGAAUUGGACUUAUUUGUAAAUAUUUGAAACGUUUUGAGCUAUACUAUAAUUUAUAAACGUAUGAGGGCCUGAGUGUAGAUAUCCUAAAUAGAUAGAAUGUUAGCGGCUAACGGCCUGUGGACUAGCGGCUAGCCACUUGAGGAAAACUUCACAUUUUCAAAUUUUGGACUAAAAUGAAAAAAGUUUUGAAAACUUUAAAAUUUAUAAGUAUUAUGUUAAAUUUUGAAAAGGACUGUUUUGAAAAUUAUUAUCAUGUAUUGGGUCAUAUCACAAUUUUAAAAAUUUUUAGAAAUAACAAGUAUUAUUUAGAAAUUAUGAGAUUGGACCGUUUGUAAAGUUCUAUGACGUUUUGGGCCAUAGUAUAAUAAUUGUUGCAAAAUUCAAAUUUAAUGGUAACUUUACUGUUCUGAAGCGGGGAGCCAGAUAAAUUAAGCGGCUAACCGCUUGGUUGCUGGAAUUUGCCUAUAACGGCUAGCAACUUCAAUUUCAAGACUCUUGCAAGUAUAAAUAAGUGUAAACAACAUAUUUGGAGCUUUCAAAUUAGAAAAUCAUUAUAGAUUAAAUCUUCAUUGAGAUAUCAUUUGUUCAUUCACUCUAAAAGAAAGUUCUUUGUUGUAAUCUUUAUUUUCUUAUCAAAUUUGUGAGUGUAUAAGUGUGAGAAAUACUUGAGCGAAGAGAUUGAGAGAUAAUCUCUUGGUUGCAAAGAUUUAUUGACACCUUAGAAGUCAAUUGUAAAGAACUUGAAGUUAUGGGAAGCUUGGAUAGUGAAAUCCUCGAGCUUGGUUGACUUGAAGGCGUGGACGUAGGCGGGGAUUGCCGAACCACGUAAAAAUUGUUGUGUUUGCUCUCUCUUCCCUUACUCUUUUAUUAUUGUGCUUUAUUGAAGUUAUUGUUUUUUAUUUGAUUAAUGCAAUAGAUUAAAUUGUUGUGCGACAUAUUUAGCGUAAGUUUUAAAAUCUCAAUUCAACCCUUUCUUGGGUUGCAUAACUUGCAUUUCAAAUUUACCAAUUAACUUUUUUUAUAGACAAAUUAAUUAAUGUCAAGAAUAUUAUUGGAAGGGUUAGAUAAAAAUAAAAAGUAAGGGUAAGAAUGUAACAUAUUUAACUAUAGGAGUGUUUGAGGCACUUUUUAAAGUAUAACGGCUAAAUUGGCAUUUAAAUCAAAAUAUAGAGAUUAAAUGAGUAUUUAAACAUCAUUAUUAAUUCUUUCUUUUUCUUGGUUUUUCUUAUUUUUAUUCCCUGUUGCUGCUGAGGUUCAUUUGAAAAAUAGUUAUAUUAAUUUUUUUUUUUAUAUUUUCAAAGAAUAUCUAAGCCUAAUUUGAUAACAAUAUCUAUUUCAUCUGCGACAUUAAGAUGUAAAAGAAAGCACAUUUUUUAAAUUUUUUAUGGCCUUUAAUAUCAAUCUAAUGUGAUGUGUAUAUCAGAAGGUAGAGAUAAUUAUUCAUUUAAAGAUUGCCAAUAUUUAUUUAAUAAUAAUAAUUUCCUUUAUUGCAUGGCCAAUUUAAAAUAAGAGAUCGUAUGACUAGUAUGUGAAAAAGAAAGAAACGACUAAAACACAUUAGCAGACAACAAUUCCAUAAAAAAAAUUAUACUUGGGGUGAAAAGAAAAAUUACCUCUCAAAAAAAAAAACUAGUCAAUAAUAAUAACAUAAUAAAAAAAAUUAUUUGUACAAACAAAUGUGACAUAACAAUAUUCUUUGAAUGAAAACAUAAAUAAAUAAAUAAAUAAAAAUAAUGUGAGUUAAGUGGCAUUUUUAUUCAACCAAUGCUGAAUGCUAUAUUAAUUUGUACCUUGUACAAGAUAAUUUAUAAAAGAAGCUUGCAACUCUGUCAUCGCUGAAAAAGAAUUAUAUAUGUGUGCUUGAAUUUAAGAUGCUCAUGCAAUCGUUUGGAAAGAGGUUCUCCAACGGAGAUAUCAAAGUUGCUCACUCAUGAUAUGUUCAUGGGUCUCCCACGCUCUUUUUUUUUUUUAAUGGUUUCUCUCCUGUAAUUUUAGUUGCAUUUGCUUCCUUUUUUUUAAUAUUAUGGUUUUUUUUACGAUAUUGAAUCUUUUUCUUUUAGAGAUAAGAUUCAUUAUGUCUUUAGGUUAAGAUUCAAUGCUCAAGUGAACUUGUUCGCAUUCUAAUUCUGAGCUAAUUUGAUUUACUUUAGUUUUUUAAUUUUAUAUUAAUGAAUUCUCUCGCCUUGUGGAAAUUCGAUCCCUUUUUAAAAUAAAAAUGCCAUAAUGUUGAUAUAUUUCAGAGUCAAAGAUUAAUUUCUUCAUUUCAAUUUUUCUCGAAGUCAGUCACUUUGGCCUUACUCUGCCACGAUAUGUUCUUGACUUUCAAAAGGUGGCACCACGGUCAUCGUUAAAGAAAAUAUUUACAAAUAAUAGUGAUGAAAAUAGACAAUGCACUCAAUUUUCUCUGAAUUAAGCAAAAAAUCAAUAAAAUGUCUAUGAAAUUCCUCCUUCCGCCAAAAUUUAUGAAAAAAGAAAAUGACCCAUUCAUUUUAUUUUGUACAUUUGUGCAAAUUGCCCCUCUGGGAAAAGAUGUUUGAGUAUUGCUGAAUACCUGUAAAUUAAAAAAACGAAAAUAUCUGUGCAGAGUUUGUUACCUUUUAUGGUUUAUAAUAACAGAAAAUUUUGAACCCCAUAUUUGAGAAGAUUUUAGCAUGCUUUCUCAAUCAUGGGCAAAACAAAGCACUACAUGUUAAUAAUAUAAUGCCUCAAUUAUCAGAACCGUGUUUUCUUGAUUCUCUUUAUCCUCCAAACUUUGAAAAGAUUAUCUCCUAAUCCUUGCUGACAGGAACCCAAUGCCAUGUGGUCAGUUUUGGUGACUGUAUGUAUGAUUAUUCUACAAUGAAGAUAAAUUAACCACAAAAACUAACUACUUCUUCUCCCAGCCCUAAACCACCAUCUGACGAACCGAAACCUUAUAGAAAGUGGAAAAUUUGUGAAAAAAAGAUAAAAGAAAAAUAUUUUACAGCUAUAUUUAGGAUUCCCUAAAGUUUUUAGUGAUAGAAACCCAAGCGAUGUGUAAUUUCAAUCUAUUUUAUGAGGAUGCAAGCCUUUAUUAUAAAAUAUUAUAAAAUAAUUAAAAAUUAGGAUUCCCUCACAAUCUUAAACUUCUAAACUAAAUUCAAAUGUGUGAUAGAUUGUUAAUAAAUAAAAGUAUAAAAGAUCUUUUAAAGUUCAAAGUGGCUUAAAUCACCAGAAAAUCUAAUCUCGAAAAUUAUUAAAUGAUUCAAAAAAUAUCUCAUAUUACCUAAAAAUAGUUAGUUAUUAGACUAUGAAAACAAGCUUACGGCAACCCUUAAUUAAACUUCUGUGCCUUUCAAUGAAAACAAGAAAAAUUUGAAGUUUAAAUUAGAGUUUCUAAAAAUUAUAUUAAAAAACUAUUAAAGUUUCAUAGUAGUGCUAGGAAAUAACUUCAAAUGCUAUUUUGAAAUCCAUAAGAGAGGAAUUGGCAAAAAUAUAACUGUUCUUAUAGUCUAAGGGUGUGUUUGACACAUUGUAUUGUAUUAUGUUGUAUUGCAUUAUUUUAAUGCUGGUGUAUUGUAUUAUGAUGUAUUGCAUUAGCACUGUAUUAUAAUAAUGUUGUACAAUAUUUGAUGCUACACUUUAUUAUAUUAAUGUUUUUGUGAUUAACUUAAAUUAUAUAUUUAGAAAAUAAAAUUUAUUAGUACCUAGAAAAAUAUAAAAUAUAGAAGUCUUAAAUUUUAGAAAUUUAACAUUAUUUUUUAGUAUAAAUAUUAAAAAAACAUUUUUUUUCAUAAAGAUUGAAGCUUAUAGCCUUAUAAUCGACAACAUAACAUUUAUUUUAAAUUAAUAUUAUUUAAAUUUAUUCAUAUAUAAAUAUUUUUAUUAAAUUUUUCUAUAUUAAUUACUAUAAUAUAAUUAAAUAAUGUAAUAUCAAGCUAUAUUCUUAUUUUUAUAUAUUAUUUAAGUACUUAUUAAUCAAUUUGAUAUAUUAAUUAUUAUAUAAUUAAAUAAUACAUUAUUUAGUAAUAUUUUUAAUAUAAUAAAAAUUAAAAUAUGAAUAACAAUUUAUUAAUUUAUAUGAAUAAUUAUGAUAUAAAAAUAAAGAAAAUAAAAAUUUAUAUUAUAUUUAAAAGUUAUAUUAUUUAUUAUUAUUAAAAAAACAAAAGCAAAAGUAAAAAAAAAAAAAAAGAGGCAGCAAAUGCAAAAGCACAAAAGCUAAUGCGGCAGUUUCCCGACUCCCAGUCGGGUUUAGCUAAUGCGGCAGUUUCCCGCAUUAGCAUACCCCUUAAUCCCUUGUAAAAUUUUGCCAACAUGAUAUUGGUAUUAAGCUAAUGUGAACAGUAUUUUAAUACACUAUAAUACCAUGCACCAAACACAGCCUAAGAAUAUUAGUUGGGACAUAAAUAAUGUAACGUCUAACAUUGAAAGUUUAAAUGAAGAAAUAUUUGACAAAAAUUAGCUUAUCAUCAGCAUUAAAAGUGUGAAUCUUAAACUAAAUUAAUGCACGGAUAAUGUUGCCUUUCAGCAUUAAUCACAAAUGCUUUACAGUCCUCCUAAUAAGAUUAUGAAAAAAUUGGCUCUUAGUUAGCACUCCGGCCAAAGUCAGCAUCCAUGUCAUCGGAGUCCCAUAUUCCAUUUCCUCAUCUUCAUGAUCCGCCGCUUGAAACUGUAUAUCAGAUAAUCUUUCCUGACGCUGGACGCAUGUUGCUUGCUGUGACUUUGAUAGAUUAUUAAGAAGCUGAUGCAACGGAAGUUUAAUGUUCAAAAUAUUCCGUUGAUUCUAGAAAAUACAGGAACAAAAGAACAACUAAAUUCACGUUGAUUCAAAAGAAUACCGCGAAUUUAGGGAUUAAGACUCGUUGAUUCCGCAGAAUACCGAGAAUUAACUGUUCAAAUACUCACAAAGAGAUUUAAAAAUUGAAAUAUUAUUAAUCUCAAAAUUCUCUCCUCAAAAGCUACAAAAGACACUUAUUUAUACUAAGUAAGACUUAUCCUAAUAUGAUUAGAAAACCUAUUUUAAUAAGACUUAUGCCUAAAUUAUGAAUAUUACUCAAAUAAGCAAUACCUAAACAAUAAGACUCUAAAUAGGAAACCAAAUUAAACUAGAAUACAAAUUAAUUAAAAUAUUCCUAAAUAUUAUACAUUUAAAUAUAAUUAGGAUUUCUUGAAUUUCAUGCUCUGCAUCAUUCCCGCCAGGUUGGAGAAAAUUCGUCCUCGAAUUUUGUAUGUUGUAGUCUUCAAGAACAUCUUCAUGUGCAUAAGGAUUAAUUUUUAAAACAGAGCUUUGACAUAGACGACAAACUUUAAAUUUUCCAACUUUUGUAAUAAUGUCCAUCCAAUCACUCCAAUGGCGUAAAAUAAAUUCUUCUAUCAACAACUUCUCCAAUAAUGUCUUCUCGUAUUGUUCGUGUCGAACUUCAACAUAGUUGAGGAAAAACGAUUUCUUCUCAUAAUCCACUAACUGUUGAAAAAUAUCACAACUCUUUUUGUCUUCUUUCAGCAAAUCAAGAGAACAAUAAGAGAUUGUAUCAACAACUAUCUCUCUCUCCUCCACAAGAUCAAAAGAUGGAUGAACAAUUACCUCUUCUUGUCCCACAAUAUCAAGAUACUCAUCAAAUUUCGGCGAUUGAUCCAAAUCAAUGUCUUUGUGUUGAGGAUUUGUUGUAGACAUGAAUGGCCAAUUAAUAUUCUCCUCGGAAGGAAUAAUACUAUCGAAAGGAACAAAGUUACUAUUUUCCUCAUUAUCUUCAUAACAACCAUCAUCGUGAACAACGUCAUCAAAUCUAUAUGCAUGCUUUAUGUGUAAAGAUUUUCUAUCUCGAAUUUUCUCUAAAUCUUGAGAAAUUGAAUGCAAAAUCCUCAACAUCUUAACUAAAACAUCUCUCAAGAUGAAAUCUUCACGUCGAUGUUGUGAUUUCAUGAUAUAAUUUUUUUCUUUUUUUUCUUUUUUUUCCUAUGCUUUUUUGGUGUUGUUUGGGUUUUUUUUUUUUAAACUAAACGGAAAAAAACAAAAAGGAGAAAGGAAACGUUUGGUGGUAGAUGGGAUUAGAUGAGUAAUACCAGGUUUUGUCUCUGAUACCAAACUGAUGCAGCGGAAGUUUAAUGUUCAAAAUAUUCCGUUGAUUCUAGAGAAUACCGGAACAAAAGAACAACUAAAUUCACGUUGAUUCAAAAGAAUACCGCGAAUUUAGGGAUUAAGACUUGUUGAUUCCGCAGAAUACUGAGAAUUAACUGUUCAAAUACUCACAAAGAGAUUUGAAAAUUGAAAUAUUAUUAAACUCAAAAUUCUCUCCUCAAAAGCUACAAAAGACACUUAUUUAUACUAAGUAAGACUUAUCCUAAUAUGAUUAGAAAACCUAUUUUAAUAAGACUUAUGCCUAAAUUAGGAAUAUUACCCAAAUAAGCAAUACCUAAACAAUAAGACUCUAAAUAGGAAACCAAAUUAAACUAGAAUACAAAUUAAUUAAAAUAUUUCUAAAUAUUAUACAUUUAAAUAUAAUUAAGAUUUCUUCAAUUUCAUGCUCUGCAUCAGAAGCUGAGCUCUUAUUUCAUCCAAAUGCCUACGUUUGUUUUUAUUCUUCAGUUACUUAUUUGAGCCACAAAAAGUGUAUACUUAGGACCACAAUAGUUCAUAUAUUAUUCUUUCUAUAAAUACUCUUGUUUUGGGCAGUUACAAAGGCGUAGAGUGGUAGAGGGCUACAGGCAUCGGGCACGGCUUGUUUGAGGUCUCAUGUUUCAAUUCCCAAAUGAGCCUCAGGAACACCCAGCUGCUUCCAUCAAACACUUGGCCAAGCAGCAUUAUUCAGCUACUUUUAACUCUUAUUAAGUCAUUUUAAGUGCUGCUGUUAAAUAGAGAAAUUUUAGAAUACAUUAGAGAUAAUACAACUAAUUAAUGUGUGUAUGGCAUGCGUAAUCGAACUCAAUAUAACCUCAACUUGAACGGUAGUUUUUAUUUUUCAAAAUAAAUACUUAUUAUUAUUAUUAUUUACUUAUUGUGUGCUUGAUAUAGUAAAUCUGAUUAUAUUUUAAAAUUUAUCCCGUUAAGGAAAUUACUAAGCAUCAAGCCACUAACAAUCUCUACCAGCAGUAUUUGAGUGAGAACGGUCCCUUAUCAAAAGAAAAAUCAAAUGCUUGAGUAAUACAUAAUUGAAACCAGCAUAGAACUUUUUUUAAGAGGUCUAUCCAGUUAUUAUUUUUUUUUAUAAUUUUUAAUUUUUACUUUUCUUGGGAUAUAUGGACCAUGGCCUCCAGGGAAUACCGGCAACUUUAAAAAAUAAAUUAACGUUUGACUGGUUGUAAUACCCAACGUACUAGAGAACAACAAUACGAAUCGCACAUUUACAAGUGUAAAAUCGCAGGGGAUCAUGUGGAAAUGUCAUGUGAAAUUAACGUGCAUAUUACAAAUUGUAUCCAUCAAUUUUUUGUGUUUUCGAAUCUUCGUGUGGAAAUGUCAACAUAUAUUCUUUCGCGCAAAUCUCGCUUUGCCCUUCUUUAAGAGGGAAAAGAUAUGAAGAAAUAUACACAUAUACGGUACAGCUAGAUUUAAAUUUUUAAUAUUCUCAAACUGCAUGCAUUGAGUUUUACUAUUGGCAGAAGCAGUACUUUUCAGAUACGAACGAGUUCAACAAUUAUAUUAAAAUGCAAUAUAUGUGUUAUGUCUCUGCCCAUUUUUUCUAUUUAUGCGUUGUUUAUGUAUGUAUGUAUUGUGUACAACGUGGAUUCACAAACUUUAAAAAAAAAUAUUAAAUAUGAAAUUAAUAUUAUACCACGUUUCUUGCAUGGCUAUUUAAAUAGAGGUUAAGUUAAAGAGAAGAUAUAUUUUUAAUCAUUCUGCCAUUUGAAGUAAGACCAAAAAGUCAUGAACUAUUGAGUAUAAAACAAAAACAGACUACCAGUGAACAGUUUAGGCUAUAAUUUCUAUGUUUAAUUAGAAACUGUAAUUAUUUAUUGUACAUUAUCGAACUCAAAAAGGGAGGAAAAAAGUGUCCAAGCAUACAGCUAGCCUUCAUAAUAUCACAGCUAAUGUUCAUGAAAAAUUGAUGGUACAGGUGUACUCGCUCGUUCUUUGAAAUUCUAAUGCAGAGCUUUCCAAGUCAUGAAAUUAAUUCUGCGAAAAGAUAAUUUAAUUUGAUAAGAUAAUCCUCAAAUGCUCUCAUUGAUGGUGAACCCUUACCCACAUGCAUGCAAAGUAUCUAUGUCUUAGCUAUAGCUAAGAGUGAAUUUAAUUAUUAAUAACACCUUAAUACUAUAAUCAAUCGACUAUUGAUCUUCUUAGUAUCAUAAUCAAUAACGUGAAAGGUAAAAAAAAAACCGAAAAAGCAUGAAGGAGAAAAAGGGUAAAUGUCUGUCUAUCUGUCCAUUUUUGAAGUUGGCUUGGGUUGUCCUUUAAGUACCAGAGUCAAUGAAGCAACAAAAACUAAUGAAAAAUUAAAAUGACCAAAAAUUCAUAACUCUAUCUAUAAAAAAGGCAUUCAUUCGAUAGUGAAUGCACUCCAAAUCCUAGCUAGUUAGCUCAUUAGAGAGUAUUGAAAUUAUUUCAUGAUGGGUAAAUUUGCCAGUUUCUUGAUUGUCCUCUUGAACUAGGGCGCACUUUGCUCUUUUCUCUAGCUUGUGACUGCUACAACCCAACUCCUCCUUCACAAGUUUCAAGUUAGUAGUACUUGAAUGCACAUCCACGUAAACAUAUGUCUCAUAUUCUUAUUCAACGGUGAUAUCUUAUUAUUAUUAUUAUUAUUAUUUAUCAUAAGUGAUAUCUUAUUAUUUGUGAAACUAACAUUGUAUGUUGUAAAAUCCGAAAAAGGAAAAAAAUUGUAUGCUGUGUGAGUAAGUAUUAUCUAUUGAUGACUUGUUUGGCAUUUUGUGUAUGGAGAGUGGCACUUUAGUUCCUCUUAAAUUUUGAUUUUUCCACUUUAGCUUUUAAUAGAUUAUUAAUGAUGUUUAAACAGUUAUUAACCAAAUACAAUUUUGAAGGGUAAAAGGUUGCAUUUUAACAAAUAUAUUAACUAGUUUUAAUUUACAGAAGUUUCGGCUAAUUAAUUUGCAUAUGAAAAUCUUUCAUUUAUUCUAGAGAAGUGCAAUUUUCUACUGUUUUUUUUUAACACCAAAAUGAAACGACGUAUUAAAAAUCUAGCUAUUAAGGACUAAUGUGGUAAAAAUAAAGUUUAGGAUAGAUAAAAAAUAUCACUUCUUUUGUUUAUAAUUUGACGUUUCUCCUCUCUCUUUAAUUAUAUAUAUACAGUAUCAAUUUUUUGUGGUUUGAAAUAACAUCUCAGCCUUAUUUGAUAUCAAUCAUUUCAUCUCUGACAUUAAAAUGUAAGUAUGUAACAUAAAAGAAUAUUUUUUGAGUUAUCAUAGCCUUUAUAUCAAUCUAAUGUGAUGUAUAUCUCAUAAGGCAGGAAUAAUUUUGCCUAUUAGCAAGUUACUAUUAUUCUUUACCAGUAAAUUUUUAACGUUGACAUUUUUAAGUUAGAAAUGUAAUGGGUAAUUCAAAAAAAAAAAAUAAUGGUAAAAGUGAGAAAUUAAAAAAUUAAUUGCGGUUAAGGAUUUUAUUCAAAAUUUCUUAUAAAUAUUAUCAGUUAAAUCAAAUAUAUUCAUUUUCCAGAUUUUAGAAAAUACAGUAUAUGUACAACAUCUGUUAUACAUUUAUUAAAAUUUACUUAACGACUAUAAUAUAAGAAGCGAAGUAGUUGUGGCAAUAUAAUUAUAUAUCUAUCAUUAAUGUAUUAAUAUAAGAAAGAAAGUAUUUUGAAUGAAUUGCAAGUUUAUUAACAAACGUACAAAACGAUAAUGUGUAUAGUAUAAGUGAAACAAGAAACAAAGGAAGGGAGGCCUCUAGUAAAAGCAUCAUCCUAAAGUCAUCAUGUCACACUUAAAUUAAACUAAUUACAAUAAUGCUAUGUUUACUAAGUUUAGAUAUUUAGUUGGGAUACUCACUGAUGUGUCACCAAUAAUUUAAUAUCAUAUGUAUGAUAUUAAUUGAUUUUAUUAUUAAUUAAUAACAAAUUAUUUUACAAUCUACUUAACGGAUGAUGUGCAACGCCAUUAGGGGCUCAUUUAGGAUUACUUUUGCGAGGCUCAAAAGUGAUUGAAAAGGUAAAAGAUAAUUUUAAUGUAUGAUAGAUUUUUCUAAAAUUAAUUUUGUCAAAAAGAUGGGACUAUUUGAACCUGUAAAAAUACUCUUUAAACCUAAUUUUAAAUAAAAAAACUAUAUUAUAACAAAACCCUUUUAUUAAAUUACUAUAAAAGACAUGAUAUUUGCAUCUAUUUAUAAAAGACAUGAUAUUUAUGCACAUUUAUCAUGUAUAAAAAAAUAUCUUUUAAAUCAAAAAAAGAUUAGCAGCUCAUAUAAACAGAUACGUUAGAAUUUAAUUCAUGGAAAUCAACCUACUUUAUAAUGCAAUCAUCCAUAUUUCAAAGAGAGACCAAAAAAAAAAAAAAAAAUCAGAAUCCCAAAUGAAGAGAAUUUAAUGUUAAAAAAAUAAUUUGAUCUUAGAGACAAUCGUGGGAAGUAAAACGUUUUUUUUUAAAAAAAAAAAUCUACUUUAAAUUUAAAAACCAAAGAUCAAUUGUGGAACUUUUCUUCAUUAAUAAAAUAUUUCUUACUUUCUAAAGUGUAAGUGGUUGUCGUUAUUAAGAUUUCAUCGGAUAAUUUUGGUAAGAUUGGAAUUUGUGAAAAGAAAAUGAAGAAAGAUUAUGUUUGGUAUUUCUGGAAAAAUAUUUUAUUGUUGUUAAUAGAGAAGAAGAAAAAGAUGGCAGUGUAAAUGGGCAUUUAUAAAGCAUUAUUAAAAUGAAAAAAUAAUUUUUAAUUAAGUCUAAUUUAAGGAUUAUAGUAGGUUUAUAGAGUUAAAAUUUAAAUGAAUUAUUUUUUUGUCAUGGGUGUAUAGAGUAAACAGGUUUAGAGAGAAAAUUUUUGGGUUCAUAUAGUCUCAUCCUUGGCAAAAUUAGCCAAUUUUGAUUUUGAGAAUAACUUUUAUACUAAAAUUUUAAAGUACGGAAAAGUUUGGAAAAAUGCAUAAACUGUGCGGUUUAAUCACUUUAAAUUUUAAGCUUUUAAAACCCUAGGGUUUUAAAGUUUUCCUGAACUUUUCCUGUAAUAUCCAUAUAUCUUUAUUAUUUAGGAAAUAAAAUCAUUAACUAUAAAUAAAUUAUUAUUAUUAUUACUAAUUAUAUUGAUAUAAUAAAAUAAAAAUAAAAAUAUAAAAUAUUUAUUUUAGUUAUCAAUUUUACUUGUACAUAAUAAAAAAAUAUUUCAUAUGCAAGUUUAUAAAUGUUUAAAUAUAUUUUAUUGAACAUAAUGUCCAAUUCAAUUAUUUACAUUUUUACAUUAGUUUAACAGUAACAUGUACCAAAUACAUAAAAUUACUUUUAAAACUCACAACACUUUUAAAAAUAAAAUUUAUCAAACAUUUAAUUAAUUAUCUCAAUAACUGAUUAUUUCUACAUCACAGUUAACAUUAAUUAUUUAAAAGGUGUAAUAUUAUGAAAUUAGCCCUAAGUAGUGUCACAGUGGAAUAUUCAAAGUGUAUAAUUAUAUCAUCACUCAACUAAUUAAUGAUUAGGUGAAACACAGAUUUUAUCAACUGUUUGUAAAUUCCGAAGCUUCUCCUGUUAAGAGAAUUUUCUUAGAAUCUCAACAUGAAUAGAAUUUUCAUGUGAAAAUCAUUGGUUGAUUUAUUAUUCAUAAGUCAACUAAGCUUGCAUAAAUCUCGCUUGUCCCAUCUUCAAAAAAGAUUUCUUCCGAAUUUUAGGACUAGUCAAAAUCUCACGAUCUUGCUAUCACAAAUUACGAAAUACAGCUAGAUUUAUUUAAUUUUCUUUUAAUUUUCUCAAGUGCAUUUAUAUUUGAUAUUUCUAAGUUAGCACUGUCAGUGACAGAAGCAGUAUCUCUUAGAUUCAACUGAUGUGGAUAACUAUAUUAAAAUGCAAUGCAUACAUGAUUUGUAGAUCUUGUUAUGGAUUUAAUAGAGUGGUUUUCAAUUGAUUUUAUUUAAAUAAUCAUAUGGAUUCAGUCCUAAGAGAAAUAGGGUUAAAAAAUUAAUUUAAAUUUUACAUGCUUUCUAACCUUUAUAUAUAUAUAUAUAUAUGCCAAUUAAAUAUAAGUUGUGUUAAGUGUUAAAGUGAAGUAAAUCCAUUUUCAUCAAUCUGGCAUUUGAAGUAAAAGACCGUAAAGCCAUCACUAUGCAAACAAAGUAAUCAAAAAACUAAAAUAGUUUCCCUUAUUAAUGAUGUGUCCAUGUUUGCAAAAACUUUUCCUCAAUAAUUGAACCAAAACAGGAAAAUAAUUGAUUUGCAAGUAAAGGUACCCUCGCAGGCCCGCCCCUUGAAAUUCUAAUGCAGAAGUUACAACUAUUACAUUUGGUAAUUGAGUUUAUUAAUGAAAGAAAUUACGUUUCAGACUACAAAUAAUUCACUUAAUUAUCCCAAUAACUCAUUAGUAUUAUUAUAAUAAUCAAUCGAAUGUUCUUAGUAUCAUAAUGAAUCCCAUGUUUCAAGCAUGAAUGAAAAAACAAAUGGGAGUAUCUCUGUCUAUAUCUCCGUUCAAUGGUGAGCUGGCUUGGGUUGUCCUUUGGGCCCUAAAGUCAACAAAUCAACAAACAGUUAAAAAAUUAAAAUGAUCCCAAAUUCAUAACUCUCUCUAUAAAAGGGCAUUCAUUCAAUAGGGAAUGCAUUCCCAACUUAGCAAGCCAAGCUCUUUAGAGAGUUCUAUAAAAAAAUUUCAUCAUGGGAAAAUAUCAAUUAGCAACUUCCUUUAUUCUACUCUUGAACUUCGGCACUUUGCUUACAUCUCUAGCUUGUGACUGCUCACCUCCUCCCCCUGCUUCUAAGACACCAAACUGUCCCCCACCGCCUUCUUCACCGAGCCCUAAAACGCCACCACCUCCUCCUCCGUUUGUAAAAUCGCCGCCACCACCACCUCCGGUCGUGAAGUCGGCCCCUCCGCCUCCGCCUCCUGUUACAAAGUCACCGCCACCUCCUCCACCGGUUGUCAAGUCACCCCCACCACCGAUUGUAAAGCCGCCACCGCCUAACGGACCAAGCCCUAAGUCACCACCGCCACCUAGUGUGAGAUACCCACCGCCACCAAAACAACAAACUUGCCCCAUUGAUGCUCUCAAACUCGGUGCAUGUGUUGAUGUUUUAGGUGGGUUAAUUCACAUUGGUCUUGGUGACAGUGCUAAGGAGAAAUGCUGCCCAUUGCUGCAAGGGCUAGCAGAUUUGGAUGCUGCAGUAUGUCUUUGCACUGCCAUUAGACUUAAGGCUCUGAAUCUCAUUAAUCUUCUCGUGCCCAUCUCCCUACAAGUACUUGUCAACGACUGUGGCAAAUAUCCGCCCGCAGGAUUUCAGUGUCCUGCUUAAUUAGUGACGCCUCAUGCAUGCAUGUUGCAACUGCGUGGAAAAGAUUAAUUGACCAUAUUAUUGUUUGUUAUCUUCUACCUAGUUUCGCUUUGUUCAAUGAUAAUAAUUAAUCUGAGAGCUAGAAGUUCAAGCUCUUCGAGGAAAAAUCCUCUAGAUAUAUGUAUUUUGUUUCUCUUGUUGCACGUCAAACCGAAAUGUGCUCUGAUAUUAUUUGUUAUUUGAUAUACAUUUAAUAAAUCAUAUGUGUCCAAGUAAAUUAAAAGUUUUUCUCUAUCUCCCUUCCAUUCACAUCAGUACAUUCGAUUUACAGUGGCGGAUCUAGAAAAAUAAUUUACCAGGGGUUAAAUUAUAUAAUAGUAAAAUUUUAAAACUAAAACUUUGAAUGUAUAAAAUAUCCGUUAAUACAUUUAUAAUUAUUCUUGGAGUAUUUUCAAAAAUAGAAAAAUGUUUGUGGUGAUGACCUAUCAUUAUUUUUAAUUAUAGUAGGCUUUUAUAAUUCUAAAAGUUAAAGUUUAAAUUUUGUGAGUUUAUAAAUUUAUAGGGUCAAUUUUAAUAGAUUUAAUGGGGGCUAAUUAGAAAUCUUAAAUAUUUUUUUCUUUUAUUCCUAGAAUUAUUUUUUUCAGUUAGCGGGGGUUGUAAUCCCCACUGGUCACGUACUGCAUCCGCCCCUGGACAUAUAUUCAUAUGCCCGUUGAUCAAUAUAUGACUUUUAACAUUUUUUUUAAGAUUUUCGUAUCAAGUCACCAUUCCAGCUCUUGUUGUAGGAAUCAGGUGAUGUUCAACAACAAGAGCUGGAAUGGUGACUUGAUCGUCCGGGAUAUUAAGGCAAGGACUGAGAGUAUUUGUUCUACCUUAUCCAGCGUCGGCUAUCGAAGAAAUGCAAGGAUUCAGAAAUGGAUUCGUUGGGAUCCUCCACCAUGGCCUUUCUUAUGCUUGAAUACGGAUGGUGCAAGGAAAGGAAAUGGAGAGGCGAGUGCAGGUGGCCUGUUGCGGGACUGCCAUGGUAAUUUUAUUCAUGGUUUCAGCGCAAAUCUUGGAGUUUGUUCGGUUAUAAAGGCUGAACUUUGGGGUGUCUUGCAUGGGUUAAGAAUGGCAUGGGACCUUGGAUAUAGACGUAUCCAAGUUGGAACAGACAACUGUAGUGUUGUACAGCUUAUCAAGGAGAACAAUGCUAAUGUCACUGAAUUUUCGAAUAUAAUCGAGAUGAUUAAGGAUCUCAUAAGGAGGGAUUGGAGGAUUCAAAUUGAUCACAUCUACCGCGAAGCAAAUUCGGCGGCUGAUUUUCUUUCUACGCAUGCUUUGAGUUUGCCUCUUGGAGUGCACUUUUUUCACUCUGUACCUUCAGGUUUGAGAUCUAUUUUGUAUUCGGAUAUGUAUGGGGUGGCACACCCCCGUUUUGUGCCCCUCUAGCUCUUCUCUUUCAGAGCCCUUUGUUUAUAAAAAAAAAAUAAUAAUAAUUGAAAGACAAUUAAUUUUAAAACACGUGAUAUAUGUAUUUACAUUAAAAGAGACCUACUGUUGCGGCUACAAAAAUUAAGGGUAUGCACACUCAUAUUUGGCAUAAAUAUUAGUUGACAAAAUAAAAAUAAUAAAAAUAAAUCAUACGAGCUAUAUGAUAUUUUCAUUCCACCAACACCGUAUGCCACAUUAGUUUGUAUGUUGUAAAAAAUAGUUUGUAGAAAAUUUUGUAACUCUGUUGUUACUAAAAAGGAGUUACAUAUGUGUGCGUUAAGAUGUUCAUGCAAUCGUUCGAAAAGAGGUUCCGCAAUGGAGAUAAAGUUACUCGCUCUUGAUGUUCUUGGUUUCCCUUGCAGUUGUAAUGCUUAGCACAAAUUAUGGUUCUAGAUCUCCUGUAAUUUGUUUUCUUGUUUGUUUGUUUGUUUUUCUUUUUCUUUUUUUUAUGGUGUUGUAAUCUUUUCCUUUUAGGAACGCCUUCCCCUAACUUGAUUUACGUUAUUCAUUUUUCAGUUUAUAUUUGCGAAUUCUCUCGCCUUGUGGAAAUCCCUUAUCAAAAAAUGUCUAUCAUGCAAUAAUGUUGAUAUGUUUUAGGUAGAGUCAAAAAUUAAUUUCUUCAUUUUAAUUUUCCUCGAAGUCGGUCACUUUAGCGUUACUCUGCCACUAUAUGUUCUUGACUCUCAAAGGAUGGCGCCACGGUCAUCAUCAAAGAAAAUAUUUAUAAAUAAUAGUGAUGAAAAUAGACAAUUCACUCAAUUUCUCUGAAUUAAGGAAAAUAAAUAAAUAAAAUGUCUAUGAAAUUCCUCCUUCCGCCGAAAUUUACGAAAAAAGAAAAUGGCCCAUUCAUUCUAUUUUGUACAUUUGUGCAAAUUGCCACUCUAGGAAAAGAUGUCCGAAUAUUGCUGAAUAAAUGUAAAUUAAAAAAACAAAAAUAUCUGUGCAGAGUUUGUUAGCUUAUGUGGUUUAUAAUAACAGAAAAUUUUGACCUGCAUACGAGAUUUGAGAGGAUUUUAGCAUUCUUUCUCAAUCGUGGGCUCAACAUAAAGCACUACAUGUUAAAAAUAUAAUGCCUCAAAUAUCAAAACCGUGUUUUCUUGAUUCUCUAUGUCCUUCAAAGUUUGAAAUGAUUAUCUCCGAAUCCUUGCCGACAGGAACCCCUAUGCCUGCAGUCAGUUUUGGUGACUACAGUGUCAUAAUUCUAGAAUGAAGAUGAAGAUUUGGAUCGAUGCUAAACUCAUAUGUGCUUAUCUCUUUAUAAUCUUGUGCUUUAUGUGCAUGUAUAGUAAGAUACAAUUAAGAUUUAAUUAGCUUUUUAAAAGAUUAACAAAAAGGCUAGCUCAGUACUGAAUUCAAAACUUAAAGAUAAACCACCUUCUUUUGAAACCUUAGGAAGUAAAAGACUUGCUAAAAAUGAUAAAAUAAAAAUGCUUUAAAUUAUGAGAAAAUUUUAUAUUACCGCUCUCAUGAAUUGACUAUCUUCAAAUCGCCCAUUUAUUUUUAAAAUUCUCAAAUUAUCUCAUUUUUCAAUUUUCUUAUUAAAAAUAGGGAUAAAUUGAGGUUUUCAAAAGUAAGGAGGUGAUUUGAAAAUAAUCAAUUCAUGAAAAGGGAAAUCCAAAAUUAACCCUAAAAUUAUAUUUAGGAUUCCCUAAAGAUUUCAGUAACGAAACCCAAUCGAUCGUAAUUUCAAUCAAUUUAAUGAGGAUUGGCUAUUAAAAUACUACAAGCUAAUAAUUAAAAAAAUUAUGAUUUUUGCAUGUAAUUAACGAUUAAUAAAUAGAAUAUAUAAUAAGAAGUUCAAUUCUGACCAUAAAACAACACUAAAAGACAAGUUGUAUAAUAUUUUUAUGUUGAAUAUUAAACUUAAUCCAAAUAGAGCACAAGUAGCCCAAUUCUUAAAAGUCUCUAAGGUAAGCUUGUGUUAAAUUUGUUAGGUAGUUGAAGUUUGAAUGAGUCUAAAUAUAAUUGUUUGAAUUAUAUUUUUUUAAUAUCGUAAUUUAUUUUAUAAAAAAAAAAUUUAAACAUGAUUAUUUAACAUUUAUUUCCUUACAAGUCAAAACGAAUGAAGUGACAUGUUUCAUAGUUCUAGAAAUAAAUGUAUUUAAUAGAGAUAAUCUUGAGAUAUAGCAUUUACUUCCCAUUCAAACCUUUUUCAUUAAGAUAAAAACUAUAAAAUUUUACUUUUUCUAUGGAGGAAAAGAAUUAUUAUUUUUUAAUAUUUCUCCCUUUAUAUUAUUAUUAUUAUUAUUAUUGUUGUUGUUGUUGUUGUUGUUGUUGUUGUUGAUGGAGGAAAAGAAUUAAAAAUAAUACACCCAAGAAAAGGUUUCUGAAUUUUGCUGGAUUCCAAUUUAGAAAAAAAAAAGAACAGGAAAAAAAAAUGUAAUUUGAAUACAGAUGUUCAAGUUGCGUAUAGUUAGUUUACAGGGCAAGAAAGCAUAUUUGAUUUGUAUAUAAUGAAAUAGUCAUUGAAUUUUUAGCAUUAUUAUUUCCAAUCACGCGCUCAGAUAAACCACUGUAUGUUAAAAAAAAUACCUCUCAAAUAUCAAGAUCCGCGAUUUCUUGAUUCUGUUUGUCAUUGAAGUCUGUAAAGCUUAUCCUCAAAAUCCUUGCUGAAAGGAAGGAACCCAUAUGCCUGUAGUCAGUUUUGGCGACUGUUUAAUUAUUAUAUUAAUAACAUUAGUGAUCAAAUUACUCUUCUUCUGUAACCUAUAUAAUGUGAAAAAAUAUAUUUAUAUAAUUAUAUGUACAAUGUAGAAGAAGACGUGUCAUGUUAAUAGAGGUUACAUAUGUUAUGUUAGAGAUUAAAAAUUUUACGCUAGAGAAGCAUGUAGCAUGUCUAUUAUGAGUUGUCAUGCACCUCACGAUCUAGAUCAGUCAAUAAAACCCCCCAUUUGCUUAUUUAAAUUAUCAAUGAUUGAUUAAUUCUCACGCCCUCCUAAUUUCUAUAUAAGAGGGGCAUUCAUUCACAGAACAAAAUGUACAAGUUCCUUGAUAGAGUCUAAGAGCUAGAGUAAUUGCAAUUUUUUCAUCAUCAUGGCCAAAUAUCAGUUAGCUGGUCUCUUGAUUCUCCUUUUGAACUUGGGCACUUUGCUCCCUUCUCUAGCUUCUGACUGCUCAAAUCCACCAAGUGUCCCCAAAACACCUUCUUCCCCAAGCCCUAAACCAAAACCACCAUCAAAGCAGCAAACUUGUCCCAUUGAUGCUCUCAAGCUCAGUGCAUGCGUCGACGUGCUUGGCGGUUUGAUUCACGUUGGUAUUGGCGGCAAUCCUAAGGAGAAAUGCUGUCCAUUGCUGCAAGGGCUAGCAGAUUUGGAUGCGGCUAUAUGUCUUUGCACUGCCAUUAGACUUGAGGCUCUAAAUCUCGUCAAUCUUCUUGUGCCCGUCUCUCUAAACGUACUUGUCAACGAUUGUGGCAAGCACGUGCCUGCUGGAUUUAAGUGUCCUACCUAAUUGUUGAUGCCCAUGCAAGCAGUUUCAUGAAAUUUAACUAUUAAGAUUGACGAUAUCAUGUUACUUCUUGUUUUUGUUUUUAUUAUUUUAAUUGUUGAAGAUAAUAAUGUGAGAGAUAUAUAGAAGUAUAGAAAUGCUUCUAGAGAAAUAUUUCUCCUUAGUAUUUGGUUUUUACUCGAUUUGUUCCUAUUAUUUUAUGUCAAAUCAAUAUGUUAUCAUGAUAUUUAAUGUCUGUUGGAUUAUAAAUAUUUUAUAAGUUAAAAAGUUUUUCUUCCGUCUCUAUCAUUUAUAUUCUCUCAAUCGUCUAAUUUAUAAUUUUUCGUUUAAAAGAGAAACAACGGUACUUAUCAUUACUCUAAAGAGUUUUAAGUUGGAUAGACACCAACUAUAUGUAUGCAGCCAUUGUAAAGUUAAUAUGUGAAAGAAAUUUUGGAACGUAACAUGUUUUUUAUAGCGGAAUGUACGAUAGUGAAAUAAAACUAUUCAGGAUAUAUAUUUCCGUACAAAGUGAAAUAUGAAAAGGAAUAAAAAGUGUAAAAAAUAGUUUAUCCAAGGAGAAAACCAUUCCUUAUCAAAAGCAAAAUCAAUUGCACGAAUAAUAAAUAGUUUGAAACUCCGUAUGAAAUUUUAAAGAGAUCUAUCCACUCUAAGUUGUACGGAUGCUAAUUUUGGUACUAACUGACUGACGUAAUCUAAAUUAAUUAGCACCCAUUAUCUAUCAUUUUCCAUUCAUGUAAUCUGAGUUAAUUCUAGAAAAAGCACAUCAUGAAUAUAUAAUUUUUGGUUCAAAAGAGAAAUCUCUUUUAAUAAUGCUAAGAAGGUCUGGAUUCGAUCCUAUUCAAGCAAGAGUUGGGAGCGAUUUAAUUUACGUUUAUAUAAUACUAAUUUAUUUAUUAUGUUAAGAAAAUUGUCAAAUUAAAAUUAUUGGUUGAUUGAUUAUUUGAAAGUAAUAUCUAUACGUGGUGUAAAUUAAUUAAGUAGGUUUGUCAUCCGACUCACAUAUAAUAAGGAAGAUUAAUGGGGCUAACUCAUAUUAAAAAAUUAACUUAAGAGUUGAAAUUUGACUUGAAUUUAUAUUAUUAGCUUGGUAAAUAUUCUAAGCCAAUGUGUGAUUUUUUUUUUUUUAAUGGAGGAAAAUAGAAAAAGCACCAAAGAGAAUAUAUGUGGAUUUCUAUAAUUAGGAAAAAAGAAUCUGAAUAUAGUCUGUCAAGUUAUAUUUUUCAAUGCAAGAAAAUUGAGUUGUCUGAUUGUCUCAAGUGGAAGAGUACUCGAAUUUUAGAAUUAAUUCUUAAGUCCGAUAGCGACACACACAAAGCAUUAAAUGUCAAAAAAAAAAAAAUGGCCACGAAUAUAAAUAUCCGUGUUUUCUUGAUUCUCUUUGUCAAUAAAGUUUGAAAAGAUUAUCCCCACAAUGACCCCAAAUAAUAAUAAUAAUAAUAAUAAUAAUAAUAAUAAUAUACAAAAGCACGACGUGUAAUGCUUAAAGUUUACAGAUGUUAAUAUUAGAGAUUAAAAAUUGCACUGUUUGUGCAAAUGAUGUGCUUAUUUCAACAUCUCAUUCACAUUAUAUUCAAUACAAGUUUAUUGAAGCAUAUGUAACGCAUCUAUUGUGAGUUGGCCUUGUGUCAUGCCCCUCACGAUCUAGAAUCCCCCAAGUUCUUAAUAAUUUGUGUUAUCAUCAUGAUUGAUUUACUCUCUCGCCCUCUUCAUUUCUAUAUAAGAAGGGCCUUCGUUCACAGAACAAAAUGUAAAAGUUCUUUGUUACAUUGCAGUUUAAGAGCUAGAAUUUUGAAACUUUUUUCAUCAUGGCCAUAUAUCAGUUAGCUGGUCUGUUGAUUCUCAUUUUGAACUUGGGGACUUUGCUUUCUUCUCUAGCUUGUGACUGCUCAAAUCCACCUAGUGUCCCCAAACCACCCUCUUUCUCGAGCCCUAAACCAAAACCACCAUCAAAACAGCAAACUUGUCCCAUUGAUGCUCUCAAGCUCAGUGCAUGCGUCGACGUGCUGGGCGGUUUGAUUCACGUUGGUAUUGGCGGCAGUCCUAAGGAGAAAUGCUGCCCAUUGCUGCAAGGGCUUGCAGAUUUGGAUGCUGCAAUAUGUCUUUGCACUGUCAUUAGGGUUAAGGCUCUGAAUAUCGUCAAUCUUCUUGUACCCGUCUCUCUAAACGUACUUGUUAACGAUUGCGGCAAGCACGUGCCUGCUGGAUUUAAAUGCCCUGCCUAACUUGUGAUGCCCCAGUCCCAUCACCAUCAUGCAUGCAAUUUCAUGAAAACCAAUUAAGAUUGAUGAAGAUGCCAUUGUUGUUGCUUUCAUUUUUAUUCUUUAUUUUUUUGUUGAAGAUAAUAAUGUGAAAGAUGGAAGUACGAAAUACUUCUAGAGAAAUAUCUCUCCUUAAUUAGUAUGUGUUUCGUAAUUGAUAUGUUCCUCUUCUUUCAAACCAAUAUGCUUUGAGAUUAAUUUUAGUGUUAAUUUGUUGGAUUCUUAAUAUUGUUUUUAUGAGUUCAACGUUUCUCUGCUCUUUAAUCUCUAUCGUAUGUACGUAUAUUAAUAUAUACAUAUUAUUCAUCACUCAAUUAUCUGAUUUAUAAUUUACAUAAGGACUCAAAAACUCAUGCCUAAAGGAGGUGUUUCACCAUUAUGCCUUUGAGUGGUUGUUUAUAAAUUGUAUAUAGUUUUGCUAGUUCAUCAAGUAGUUGUAGAUUUGAAUUAUUUUUUUUUUUUGAAAAAAUGGGGGGCUUAUUUAGAAAGUCUUUGGAGCGUAUAUAUAACUGCACAUUAACUUAAGGCCCAUGUAAAUUUCCGUUGUAGACCCGGCCCAAAUUGCAAAGCAAUAAUAAAAAGAUCUUUAAAACAAUAAAAUGAAAAAGAAAUUUUCUUGAGAAAGAAGUCAGUGUGGCCUCUAAAGGAAGAUCGUAUAAUAGCGAACUCACUGAGCUUUAACGAAGAGUCGAAGAGCAUUACCUUUGAGUUGGCUGACAAAGAAUUACAUGUAAGUUAAGAUCUUCACUUUUCUUCCAGUUUCUAUAUUUCCCUUUGCAAGAUCUGUUUUUCUUGUUAAAUAAAAAAAAAAUUGUGAAUUAAGCGUCGGCGCUGUUUGUUUCUGAAAUUUUUCGUUUUUAGUCGAAUAUUUAAGUUUUUUGCUUUUUCUUUUUGUUUUAAAUUUUAAUUCGAUAAGAUAUUUGUAAUGGGUAUUGGAGUUAUCCCUUUGUUUCGCUUUGUUGCAAGUGCUUUUCGAGCCCAGCUGAAUGUUGUUAAACCCUUGAUUUGAACAAAAAAUUUUGUCAUGGGUCUUGUUUAAUUUUCCGAUAGUUUUAUUUAUUUUUCUUGAUGUUAUUACAAUUGAUGAUAUUUCCUGUGAGUUACUUGAGUAAAAUCAGUUAAUUUUAGUUUUGUCGUUUAGGAAAAAGAGGCACCCACAUGCUAUAAAUUUUUUAAAGGGGAAUGACUUACAAACUGACUUAUUAUUAGAAUUUUCAGUGAGUUUAUAAGUGGCCAAUGAAAAUUUGAGAAAUAACCCCUUUUCGAUGAGUAAUUAAGGUUUUUGAUUUGAAUGUAUUGAUGCUUCGUUGCAUAUAUUCUGUUGUAUAGGGAUUCUUAUUGUUGAUAUUUAUGCUUUGUAAUCUCUUGUAUAGUGAAUGGUAGUUCUACUCUUGUGCAUUUGUUUUGGUAGGAGAACCGGUUUUACUUUCUCUCUGGUUCUUGAGACUCCGAUGCUUUAUUUUUAUUUUUAAUGCAUGUAUUGGUAUUAAGCUAACCUAUGCUUUGCCACAUGGUUGAUAAUGACAAUUGAAUUUGUGGAUGCUCAUUACUGAUGAGUUGAGUUAUUUGAUGCUGUUGUAAUCUUGUUUUGGAUAAUACAAGUUUCUUCUGCCAUCCUCGUAAAUGUAGUUAUGAAACCGAGAGAGAAAGAGAGUUUGUGUUGGUAGUUCUUAAGAAGUCUAACAAGCAAAUGAAGUAUUGGUGUAUAACUCAAUUUUUUUUUUCCCUCAAGAUUUAGCAAAUAAAUAGAUUCUGAUUCUGAGCGGAAGCUAUCUACUAGAAAAUCAUAAAUGGAAGUUUUAUGUUAAUGAAUCUUGUUGAUUGUUUUGUGGAGCUAGCCAAAAUGUAAGGAGUGGCCAAAGCUUGGUGAAAUUGUGGUUGUGGAGUAAUUUAUUUAUUUUUACUUAUGUCAAGAUGCUUAAAGAAUCUAAUCAGAAUAUCUUGAAUUUAGCAGUUACCCAUGAAAAAAUGUGUUUGGUUGAUUUUGAAAAUGAAAGUUUUAGAGGCAUGCUCUUUCUUUCUGUUUUAAUAGGAGAAGCGUGGUUUCUUUUUCUUCAAUUAGGAUACAUAAAGAAUCAUUUUACAUAGUGCUUGUUAUUCUUUUGCAUUUCACCUCUUAUCACUAUUAUUAUCAUUGAACUUUUAGGUUGGUCCUUUUUCUGUUCAUCCAAGUAUGUUAUAGCUGUCAAUGAUUGUAUUUCUAUGCUCUAUCAUAUAUGACCAUGAAAUUCUUCAGAAUUUGCAUCUACCUAUGCUUCAGUCUCAGCUUGUUUUUCAUCUUCUUACUGUCUUAUCCUCCAUACUCAUCUUUAGCUGUGCUCAUUAACUAAUAUAUUUCUGGUGUUACCAAAUUAGCUGCUAUAUUGCUGUUUUCCAUUUUUCGGUGGUACAUUUAUUUUGGUGCUUUUCUAGUGGAGCACUUCUUUUAUUUUUGUUGAAUCUGUUUUAUUCAUUUUCCAGUGGUACAAUUCUUUUAUUUUAUUGAAUCUGUUUAAUACAUUUUCUUUGAUUUUCCUUUUUUGCAGUCAUAACCAAAAAUGUCUCGGAGAUAUGAUAGCCGUACCACAAUUUUCUCCCCUGAAGGCCGUCUCUAUCAAGUUGAGUAUGCAAUGGAGGCCAUUGGAAAUGCUGGUAGUGCAAUUGGAAUAUUAUCGAAAGAUGGGGUUGUCUUGGUUGGUGAAAAGAAGGUUACUUCGAAGCUCCUGCAAACCUCAACUUCCACUGAGAAGAUGUACAAGAUUGAUGAUCACGUUGCUUGUGCCGUAGCUGGAAUAAUGUCUGAUGCGAACAUCCUAAUCAACACUGCCAGGGUCCAAGCCCAACGUUACACAUAUGCCUACCAAGAGCCAAUGCCUGUUGAGCAGCUUGUUCAAUCUCUUUGUGAUACAAAGCAAGGUUACACCCAGUUUGGCGGUCUCCGCCCGUUUGGUGUUUCAUUUCUUUUUGCAGGGUGGGACAAAAAUUAUGGCUUCCAACUUUACAUGAGUGAUCCUAGUGGAAACUAUGGUGGUUGGAAAGCUGCUGCUAUUGGUGCAAAUAACCAGGCUGCACAAUCAAUCCUCAAACAAGAUUACAAGGAUGAUAUUUCAAGGGAAGAAGCAGUUCAACUAGCACUGAAGGUGCUCAGCAAAACCAUGGACAGCACCAGUCUUACUUCUGAUAAGCUUGAAUUAGCUGAGGUUUUCCUGAUGCCUUCUGGCAAAGUGAAGUACCAAGUUUGCUCACCCGAAGCUCUGAGCAAGUUGUUGGUGAAGCAUGGAGUAACGCAACCUGCUGCUGAGACUUCUUGAAUGAAGAUCUUCCAUGCUUUCAUUAUAACUUAAUUUCAAAGCAAUUUGGACAGUACUUGUAUUACUUUUAUGCUUUUUGCCCAAAGAACUGCAGAUCGAUGUGUUUGAUGUUGAUGAUCAGAAGCUUGGUAAUUUCAGAUGUUAUGAUGUUGGAUGCAGUUUACCUUGUUUCCUUGUGUUAAAAUGCUCCCGUCACUUAUAUUUCAAGGAUUUUGGCUUGACUUUUAGCAUGGAAAUUAACUAUUAUGUUUCAGAUGUUAGAAUUGUUGCGCUGCAAGCGUUUUGUAUUCUUUAGGAUUGCCUUUUCUCUUUCUUCCCUUUCUCUUUACAGUUUCUCCCAUUUAUUUUUUUGUGUUAUGUAUUCUUCAUGAUUGCUGUUUUUCUUUCUCCUCUUUACCUCUACGGUUUGCCCUAUUUAUUUUCUCUUCACUGAGGGGAGAAAAUCAAAACAAUCGAGAGAAACAGUAACAUUCUUGUUGCGUUUACUCGGAAUGAGCUAGAAUCAAAAUGGGCAUGAAUGAAAAUAGGCUGGAAUGGGAAUGGAGAAUGAGAAUUAGAAUAAGUUGUUUAUUUAAACUGUACAAAUUGGGAUAAUAAUAAGUUGAAUUACUAUUAAUGUGUUUAUUUUAUUUUGGAAUUAAAAUUAGAAUAAAUUAUAAUGUUAUAAAUUAUUAAAAAAUCUUUAAUAAUAAUGACAAUAAUAUUAAUUAAAAUAAUAAAAGUAAUAAUUUUUUUAAUAAUUAUAAAUUUUAAUAGUGAUAAUAUCAAUAAGAAUAAUAAUAACAAUAAUUAAUAAUAAUUAAAUAAUACAUUUAAUUAUUACUAAUAAUAAUAAUAUUUAAAUAAUAAUAAAUGAUAAAUAAAAUAAUAAUAAUAAUUUAUAAAAUUUAACAAUAUUAAUAUUAAUAAAAUUAAUGAAUUUUAAUAAAAUAAUAUUAAAAUAAUAAUAAUGACAUUAUUAUUAUUAUUUUAAUAAAAAUAAUAAUAAUGAAAUUAUUGACAAUACUAAUUAUAAAUAAUAAUAAUUAAUAUAUUUUAAAUAAUAAUAAUUAAUAUAUUUUAAAUAAUAAUAAUAUUAUUAUUAUUAUUAUCAUCGUCGUCAUUAUUAUUAUUAUUGUUAAUAUGUUAAUUAAUUAAUUAUUAAAUAAUAAAGGAUCUAUUUGUAAAUAAUACAAAAAUUUUAGAUUUUUUAUAAAUUAUGUAGGGACCUUAAUGUAAAAAUGACGAAAGUUGAUUAAGGAUAAUUUGGGAAUUAUAAAAAUUUAAUGGAGUAAAACGAAAAAUGUAGGGAAUGAGAGAGCUUGAGAAUCAAUCUUUCAUUUCUUAUUCUCAAAUUUAGGUGGGGCUCACGAUUUCAAUUCUGAUUCUUGUCUUGUGAAGUAAUGUCAAUUAUUUCAAUUUCGGAUACCGAUUCCCUAAUCUGUGAAGUAAACACUACAUCUAUAUUGUACGGAUAUGGAUUCCAAAUAGAUUAAUAGAAGUAAAACUAAAUCAAAAUUAAAAAGCAACUGAAAGCAACACAAAUAAGAAAAUUAUUUUGUGCAAUUUGGAGAUUUGGGGAAGCAAUGGGUUCAUAAAGAAACUGCAUUGACAGCAUUAAGCAUUGUUUCUGUAGAAGUGAACCCAUCAUUGCUCAUGAAAAAGUGGUGAAAUAUUUUGCUUGUUUUCCAAAACAGUUCCUUGCAGACUUUUGGAACCACACUCCCCUUCUUUUGCAGCAUUAAACGCAGCAACUCUAUCCUAUGGAUUUCAACUUUUUUCCUCAUUUCUCUUUUAACAAGACAAGCAAGAGAGAAACUAAUACGUCUUUUUACUGGUAGUUCUGCGACUUUCCAUUUGUGAAGAGCAAGAAGGCAGGCAAGAAUUGAAGAAAGUGAAUCUGUAAUUAACAAACUAUCGGCUAUUAAAUGAUCCAGGGUCCAUGAUCCAUCUUUAUUUUGAUUCUCCAUAAUCCAUUUCAAGCAUUCUGGGGAUCUAGGUUUAUUAUCGAUGGAAUUUUCAGAAGGCACCAAGCCACCCAUGCGGUGCCGUAUGGAGAAACUGGUAGCUUGAUUUUUGUUGGAACGCUCCUUGACCCUUGUAAUAACUGGAGCUUGCUCACUCUACCAUUAUCAUUCAAUCCAAUUUCCCUCUCUUUAUCUUAAUUUAUAAUUAUUAAUCAAAAAAAUGGGGAGUUAUGACUGCAGAAGAAUCACUGCAGGCUUUCAUUUUCACAAGUUGUCGGCGGGGGCACCCAUCUGCUACAUAAAUACAUACUAUAUUUUCUGGUGAAAAAUAAAAAUAAUAUUUUCACCUGAUGUAGCUUUAUUUUCGAAGAGAAGUCUGAGAGAGAUUUUCGAUUGUAGCAGCAUUUUUGUGUGUGUGUGUGUCUAUGUGAUAAAGUGAAGAAAAAUAAAAAGAUAUUUGGUUUAUAUAAAUAUAUGAUAAUAUGCGUGUGAAUUCUUCUUAGAUAACUUGCCCUAUAGCGUUGAAUAUACAAAUUUCUAAAUUAAUCAACUUCACCGCUCCUGCAGGCCAGCUGCUAGGCAUAUAACAAUAAACAGAACUGAUCAGUCAUGGGGUAUCAUAAGCACACUAAGAAAACCCAAAUGACCAACAAACAACAAGAGUACUAAAAAUAAUAUUUAAUCGGAAACAAAAUAUUGUAAUUUUCUUUAAAUAGGUUGUGAUUUUGUAGCUUUGUAAUCAAUAGGUUGCGAUUUGCGAAGUCAAUGAAGAAAGAAUUGGUUAAAAAGAAAACAACAAAGCGAACCUAGCGAAGAGCUUUGUCCUCAAGUAGAAAAGAAUAGCUAUAAUGUAAAAAGGAAAAGCAAACUAACGGAUUAAUAAAAUUUCACCGCGUAGUGCUGUCUUUCAUUCUCAUUUUCUCCCCCCCAAUUUUCUGGCUUAUCUUUCAAAUCCUAUCUAAUAAAUUAAUAUGACAUCUUAUCAACAAAGCAUGACAUAUUGCUAAGGUUGCUCUUUGUGGAGAAUAUACAGAGGCUAAGCGGAAUAAGCUCAAGAAGCUGAAUCAAGUCGGCAUUGCCGAGUCAAUAAAGGUUGUUAAGAAGAGCGACAGCUCAGCUGAUAGCUAAGCAUAAGCUGUUAAAUUUGUUGUUAAUCAUACAGUUUGGGUGUGUAACUAGGUGUGAUUAGCUUAGUGACUAAUGAUUGAAGUUAGUCACAGAUUGCUAUAGUCAUGUGAAUGUAUAUCUAUAAGGUUACACUGAUUCAGUUUAUGAGAAUAUAUGAAGAUUCCAUAAUUAAUUAAUAGAUCAAUUUUUUUUGAGAUUUUCUCUCUAGCCAAACACAAUCUGUUCAUUAUUUUCACACAUAUUGUGACUGUAUUCUUCGUACUUUAUUGUCGUAGCCAAUGCAUGUAAUGAAGAUGUUUAAUUACAUGCACUGAAAUUUUCAAGCAAUUUGCACGUAAAGUUUAUAUGUUUCCAAUCAACUAUCCAACAACUGAAAUGGAACCCACCAGAAGAUUAUUUUAAUGGUAAUAAAUUUCUAAUUAAUGAUGUUUAGCUAGGAUGGUAGAGUUUGAGGUAGCUGUAGCUAAAACAAGCCAAAAAUUUAAUCACGAGGACCGCAAACAUUAAAUUAUCAGUAAAUUAAAGAGAGAGAGUAAGCUUUUCACGAAUUAACUUUGCUGCGGUGACCCCUGAAUCGGCUUUUGUCUUAUUUUAUAACCAACUAGGUUCAUAAUUGUACAUAUGUAUUAACUAAAUAGAAAUAUCCUAGCAUAUAUUACUCCUAGUUUAUUUAAUUUAUUAUAAGCAACUAUAGGGUUCUAUACAAUAACGUCCGCCGGCGAAUUUAAUAUGAGCCCCGAAUAGGAAACCUGUAAUUUAGGAGAGAAUCUCUCCUGUGUUGUAGGUUUGGAGCAGCUGCCUCAAAGUGGCUAUAAUUAUAAACCUUUUGGACCAGUGUUCCCUACCUGUUACGGUGCUACCUAUGCUGUUCUCAAGGGACAUGGCCGCUAUCUUUAAAAAGGACUACAAAGAUGAUAAGUAUUUUGAGGAAAAAGUUUUGGAUGUUUUUGGAGCUCACAUUACUUAAUUUCUAAAACAAACUGUACGUGAUUGGAUGUAAAUUAUUUUUUUUAAAAAAAAACGCCUUACAAACUUAUCCAAAAGUUAUCCGUCAUUGCAAAUCUGAAAUUCUCUCUUUUAACAAAAAUGGUGUCGCUUGAGUGAGAAUUGACGGCAGCCCGAGGUCAUUAACAUUGAUGAAGAACAUUCAAACUAAGUAUUUUACUGCGAGAAUAAUGAACAAGAGAACACGAGAGAAAAAUAAUCGUAAGGACUGCAAGUGAAUCUCACUAGAAAAGAGAGUGGAAUCUUUCAAUUCAACAGUGGCGUCACGAAAUUUCCAUCUUAUCGGGUCGAUUCAGAAGCAGCUUUUAGCUUAUUUUAUAAGCAAAUGCGCAUGCAUAUCUACUUACUCCACAUCUUUGACUGUGCCCACAGUGUUCCCAUGUGCUAGAUCUUAAUUAUUCAAAUCUAGCAGAAUGGAAUAUUAAAUCAUAUUUGUUGCUUGGAUUUUGGAUCAUUGUUGGGUUUUGGAUCGUUGUCUCUUCUUCUUUUCUAUAUUAUUAUUAUUAUUGUUAUUAUUUCCUUUUGGGAAGAAAGACUGAUCAAUCAUUUCAAUAAGAACAAAACGCAGUCUUUUUCCUUAUACAAGGCAUGAGAAGCUUGUAACGUACUCCAAUCAAAUACUCGUCUUCAUUGAAUGAGCCAAUUUGCCAAAACUAUUGUGUGCUUCCUCACUACAAAUCCAAUAUUGCAUGAAAGUAUGAGUUCUGACUUUCUAAGUAUCUUGUGAUAUGUAUUUACUAAUUAAUGUGAUAAUAUAUGAUUAAAAUUUAUAGUUUUUGUGUUUUUAUAUAAUAUCUAUCAAUCAUCCAUUGGUAAUUCAAUAGAAAUUUGGAUUAGGAGAGAUUCAACACUAAUUGUUAGAUAAUUUAAAUACUAUUCAGAUCCUCAUACCUUUAAACUGCCCACACUGGUGUAAGCUUUUAGGUCAAAUGAUUUCUCAGUAUGGUAUCAACAUGCAGGACAUAAAUUUGAUAUGUAAAAUUUGAAUCCCUCGUAUGCGAUUUAAAUUUACACAAAGUGGAAGGAUUGCCUGAAUCCAAGAUCUUGAAACCUUAUUUGCCCCUGACAUAAAAUUAAAGCUUUAAGUUUUCAAAGUCUAGAAGUGCUUUCAAUACUCUUUAAGACUUUGGAUGCGAGCACAGAUUGAUCUGCGGACUUAAAAAUUCAAGGGGACCAAGAAAAGGACAAUGGAAGCUACAAUUCAAAUCCCCGCUAAAAGCAAGCCAUAUACCAACAAUUGCGCGCUGUGCGGACCUAUUUGUUGGACUUGGAUUCAAUCAUUUAAUUUGUGUGUAGAACACGCAUAAAACUAACUUGUUAUUAUGUCAUUUUAAUGUAUUGUGUGUACUUUGGUGGUCCUUUUUUCUGCGGUUGCACUUGUUGUUAAACUUCAAGUUGAGUGAUUUUGAUGGAUCAUAAACCUCUCGCAUGCGGCAGCCCCAAUGGUUGUUGCCAUUAAUUUCCUAAAAGCAAUGUGCAUGCCGAUAUAAUACUGGGAAACUUUGAGAGUGCGAGACCACACGUCCACACCCACGCCUGACGCCACCACAAGCUUUUUUAUUUACUUAUAUGGAACUGCUUUUCAGCGUAAAAAAGCUCUUUUGCUUUGGUGGGGAGGUAUGGUUAACAUAUGUAGAAAAGCAUUUUUUUUUUUGUGAAAAGUGCUUCUGCUUUGUUGGAACGGUGAGGUCACUGGCCACACAGCAUGUCGCGAAGACAAAUAAGAAUUAUCAUCGAAGUGGCUCCGCAAAUGACCGCAACAGAAACUGAAAAGUAUUAUUUGAAUAAUACUUAUUUUUCAUGAGUUAUGUGUUAUCUAUUUCACAGGCGUAAAAUGACUUAUUUAUAAAUUAACGCCACUCCACUCCACUUUAUGGUUAUGUAUCCUGAUUGAAAUGUCAUUAAAAUACGAAACACACAUAUUUUAAUAUAUUAAAAAUAGUUUUUUUGUCUGUUAAUGGUAUCUUUAUUUGGCAAAGUGAGAAUGCCCUCGUUAAAGUUUAAGACGAAUUAAAAGACAAAAAAUAAACACAAACUUUAAUGCAAUAUUUCUCGUCUAUAGAAUAUUUAAAUUUGUGUUUUUUUUUUGUCUUUUUAACUUGUUUAUGAAUUUAAUAUGGUCAUGGAUCUCUGAUAAAUUUAAUAUAUAAAAAUAAUAAUUUAAUAAUAAAAUCCUAAAUUAUUAAUAAAUUUAAAUAAUAAUAAAAAUUAAUUUUUCAUUGAUAUAAAAUAAUAUUAUCUUAAACAAAACAAUUCAUACUACACUAAAUAUAGUAUUACAUUAAAACUUGAUGCAAUGCACCCCUACGGUAAUGCACCACACACACACACAUAUAGUUCGCGAUAUUGUGCAUGUCAGGGCUCUGUACUGUGGGCCUCAUAGCCAUCCAAUCAUGACUUGCCACGUGUGAUUUCGCACAUUAUGACGUACACGACAUCACGCGCUGGAUCAACCUUAUAUAUCCGCAUGCAUGUGUAAUAAAUGAUCAAAUGUCAAAUGUUAAAAGUGGUGUUACUUUUUAAUCACAAGUAUUGUUAUUACAAGAUCAACAUAUUUUUAAUAUGUGGAUAUUUAUAAUCUAAAAUAACGUCACCGAGUCUAAGCCUGUGCAGGACUCAUUUCCAUCUCCUAUCCUAAAAAUAUAGAUUAAGAGUAGAUGAGUAGAUUUUUUUAACUAAUGUUUGACAAAUUUUUAGAAGGCACUAUAAGUGAAUAUAUCUUGAAUUCCAAUAGAAUUUAGAUUGUAAUAUAUUUAUAGAAUUGUGACAAGUUGAGAAAAAAAAAAAGUCCCUUGACUAAAAAUAAAAAAUAAAAAAUAAAAGAUUCUAUCAUUAGAGAAAGACUUUAGUUACCUUACAUAAUAAUGUAAGAUACAUAAUUUUUUUAUAACUGUUUAAUAAAAAUUUAACUGUUGUAAAAAUAAUAUAAUUUUAUUACCUUAUAUUUUUAUAAUUGAUAAAUUUUUAUUAAACGAUUGUGAAAAAAAUUAUGUAAGUUAUGUAAUGUAAGCUAACAGGCUCCUCAUAGAAAUCACUCUUAGAUUUGCAUGAAUACAUAAUUUCAUAUCAAAACAUCCGUCAAUGUCAUCAACUCGUACUUUGACAAGAUACAUUUGAUUAUUCUUUUAUGGUUGUGAUACCAUAUGUUCAUAAUACGUGUCACUUUUUCAUUGGCCCCGUGCGAUCUCUAGCUUCAGGUCCUGUAGCCCGGUAACCUUAUUACCACAAACUCUGAACUCCUUCACUCUCUUGUCCGAAAAUUUUUCAUUUCUUUCAUACGAAGCCUUCCCAUGGCUCUUCCUCUACUUCUCACUCUGCUUCUCAUUCUUCACAUUGCCCCUCCGUCCCAACAACAACAUGAUCACAAGAUCAACGCAGUUGAUUUAGCAGCUUUAGCAGCCAUCAAGAGCACGCUCACUGACAUUCCAGGCAGCAACUUCUUCUCCACUUGGAACCUUACCGCACCGGAUCCCUGCUCCACUUUCUCAGGCAUCACCUGCUCACUCAACCGUGUCUCCACUCUUACUCUCGGAACCGGCCUUUCCGGCUCAUCUGGCCUCGCCGGUUCACUCUCCCCUUCCAUUUCAGACCUCGCCGAAUUAACCCAACUCGUCCUUUUCCCCGGACUCGUCACCGGUCCCAUACCACCUGAGCUGAGUUGGCUCACCAACCUCAGAGUCCUCUCCUUAACCAACAACCGCUUAACCGGUUCAAUACCUGGUUCAUUUUCUUCACUCAGAAGCUUGCAUACACUCGACCUGAGUUACAACCAACUCACUGGGUCAGUCCCACCUAGUUUAACGAGUCUUCCCGAGUUGAAAGUUCUCAUUUUGGCCUCAAAUUCGUUGUCCGGCGAGUUACCAGCCAUGUCGGCUCAGUUGCUUCAUUUAGAUUUAAAAAAUAACUUACUCGCCGGACCGUGGAAAAAACUGCCGUCAAGUCUCCGUUAUCUAUCGGUCUCUCGCAAUUCAAUGCGGGGCCCACUUAACGGGUUAGCGCUACUCUCAGAGUUAGUGUACCUCGACUUAAGCAUGAACCAAUUCAGUGGGCCCAUCCCGGCCGAGCUAUUUAAUCCCACGCUAUCAUCAAUGUUUUUGCAACGGAACAAUUUAUCUGGUCGGGUCCCAUCAAAGUUAAUCGGGGACCCCACAACAUCGGCAUCAUACGGUGGGGGAUCUAUUGUUGAUUUGAGCCACAACUUUUUAACGGGCGAAUUAUCUCCGGUUUUGGCGGGAGUUGAGAGCUUGUUCUUGAACAAUAACCGUCUGAUGGGGAUCGUGCCGUGGGAAUACAUUAAGAGCGUGUACGAAGGUACCACCAGAACAUUGUACUUGCAACACAAUUAUUUAUCAAAGUUUCCGUUGGAGCCCGGAAUGGAGUUGCCUGAUACGGUGUCGUUGUGCUUGUCCUAUAACUGUAUGGUGCCUCCGGUUGGGCUCGCGUCAUGCCCCGCCAGUGCCGGCGUGCAGCUCUCAAGGCCGGCGUCGCAGUGUUCGGUGUUUAAUAAUCGUAGCAACAUAGAUUAAUUCAUAUAAUAUAGAUUUGUUAUACAUUAUACGAUAGAAAAAAAAAAAGUAACAAUAUUUGUUAAUUACAUUAAAUGCGUGCUCUGUUUUUGUUAUGAAAGUAUAUUUGGUUUUGUAAUCAUAUUUUUGCAAUAUUAAAAAAAUAUAUUUGGUUACAUGUGAAAUAUUCUUGUUCUAUCAUUCUUGUAUAUGAUACAUUUUACUAUUGCUAUAGAAAUUUGAAACUACUAUUUAAGGAUCCGGCUACGGUACCACAGUGGUACCGUGCCACUUCUUUUGUUUUUUAUGACUGUGUUAUUAUAAAUUUUCAUAUAACCCCCUUCACUCAUUUUUAUUUAAGCUUUACUUUAUAAAUAUUAAAUUAAUUUCUACUACAUCCAUAUAAAUAUUUUAAUUAGCACCUUGUGUUAUUUAUUAUUUAUAAAUUUUUAUUCUAUAUUAUACCUAUACCACAAUACCCCACUCUUUAUAAUUUUGAGAUUAAAUAAUUAACAAGGAAAAGAAUUAGAUCGACCCGAACUCGUAAACCCAACCUGGAUUCCGUUUUCAUUUCCAGCCACUCCACCAGCCAAGGUUGGUACCGAUCGAAAGAUCGUGCGACGCCGGUCAUCUCCAUGUCAUCCUUGUAGCAAAAAGAAUCGGGUCAAACCGAACCCGCAAACCCGACCCGUAUGCCGUUUCCGUUUCCGACCACUCCACCGGCCAAGGUUGGUACCGAUCGGAAGCUCGUACGAUGCCGAUCAUCUCCAUGCCAUCCUUGUCGCCGGAAAGUGUUCGAAAAGCUGCCGAUCGAAGCCGUGAAAAGAUGCUUCAAUUCGCCACAAUUUUGCCGGUUUCCGGUGACACCACCACCUGGAUUUUGUUCCCCACAAUUCCCUUUGUUUUUUACGACCAGCCACAGCCACCCUAGGAGCUAAUUUGCCGUUGAUCGGCCGUUGAAGGAUUCACGGGUUUGGGAGAAAUUAACUUAAUAUUUAUGAAACAAAGUUUAAAUAAAAAUAAAUGAAAGGGAUUACAUGAACAUUUACAAUAAUACAGUCAUAAAAAAUAAAAGAAGUGGCACGGUACCACUGUGGUACUGUAGCCGGAUCUUUUAUCUAAUCAAUAAUAUUCAAAAUUGUCACUCAUGUUAACUAUUUAUCAUUUAAAGUUUUUUCAUGAAAAGUGUGAAAGUGAGAGUUGAUGAGGAUAAUACGAUAAUGGAUUUAUUAAAGUUUGUCACACAUCGAACAAACUCAAGUGGUCCACACGCGCUUCUUUUGUCUAGGAGUGCAGGCUUGCGCAUUCAUCGGUUUGUUUGCUUCUCACCGUGGGUCCAAGGGUCUGUCCCGAUGUGAACCUAUAAGAAUGGACCAUGGCUGCAUAUCAAAAUGAUGCAAAAAUAAAUGUGACAAAAUAAACAUUAUUAAGCCUACGAAAUAUUUCUCCAGUAAGGUCAUUUAUUUUCCAUCAAUUACAGCAAGUGAAAAAACUGCCAUUUUUUUCCCCAUCAAAUUUCAACAGAGAGAAAUGUUGCUACUAGAAAAUUUUACAGCUGAGAAAGGGACAACAGGCAUUACAAGAGAUUAUAGUGCCCAAAAUUCUCUACCAGACCCAGCUGCAAGAGAAUGUCAAACAUGCAUGGCUAGCAAUCUCUAAAACUCAAAUGCUUCGUCUAAAUACACCGCACAAAUGCUUCGUCUACAUUUGUUUUUCCUCAUAAAAAAAAAACUCAAAAUUCUAUCUUCAUUGUAAUUGCUGUUUAAGCUCUGUGAAACCGCAAUAUGUUGAGAAAACCUUGUAGUUCCAAUACCAUCUGUAAAACUAUGACCUCAAGACUAAACACAUGGCGUGAGAUGCACCAACUGCAACUGAUAGCACAUGAUGAGAACCCAAUCCGCCAUCCUCCAUUAGAAAAUUGACUUCAACCGGACAUGGCUGCACCACCGGCAGCCCAGGAACUCCCAAUUGAGAAUCUUUGGCAUUUCCCCACAUAUAUAACUUCCCUUUCUCUGAAUGCAAACAUAAUAUCGAUGAACAUGAGUGUCUUAAAUCAAUUAUGACACUAUGAUUUGUUCAGCUUGAUUCCAAAUAAAAAGUAAUUACUCAAAUUUUCUUUUAUAUGAUUUACUUACGGACUAGAUAAAUUCAAUUUUUGUUACAUCUAAUCAUAUCUAUGAUAAUUCCUAGUACCAUAUUACAGUUGAGGCAAUUGGCAGAUCUGCUGAAUGCGAAGCAGUUUCGAUGGUUUUGUCUAAUCUGAGAUGUUUAUUGAUAAUUUUCAUUUCCUUGAUGUUAUAUGUUGAUAAUAUGCUGAUUAGGUCUAGCAACAUGCAUGGCUAGAUUCCAGAUUAAAUUUCAAUACAAAGGUUCUAGGAACCGCAUAAAAGAUCCUAGGAAUGUAUAUAUAGAGGGUCAAAAAGCAACGCAAAUGAAAGUUAUGCAGAACUGUUGCUGGAGUAUUUUAAUAUUAUCUAUGAGAUCACAUCUAUUUUUGGAUUGAAGGAUGUGAAGCAUGUAUAUACUAGUAUGCUGUGCACCUUCUAUGACCUAACAAUAACGAUAACAAUAUCAAGAAUAAUGUAGCUUCUUUUACCAGUUACAGCUGCUGAAGUUGAUCCUCCACAAGCAAUGUGGGUUACAAACUCAUCAGCUAAAGCUUCAAUGACCAUAGGUACUUUCUGAUUUUGGGUAAAAGAAUGACCCAAUUGACCAUGUCCACCAUAGCCCCACGAAAAAACUUUGCCGUCAUCUGAAAUUACACAUCAUGAAAGAAUAUUAGUAUUAGUAUACAACCUAAAAAGGGACAGUAGGGAGCAAAGACUCAUGUAAAAUUCCCAACUAUUUUACCAGUUAGUGCCAGGGAGUGAUAACCGCCAUUUGCUAUCUGAAUGAUGCGAACAUCUUCAAGAUUAGGAAGGAGUUUGGGUUUCCAACCACCAACCCUAUCACCUCUUCCAAGCUCAUAGUUAGAAUUUGCUGAAUGAAAAACACAAAGAAGUCCCAAAAUAAUGUCACUAUGCUAUUGAACCAGAGUAAAAUAACAUUUUAACAAAGCUAAAGUCUUAACCUUUAGAAUAAAAUUACAAGGGAGAGAGAGGAAAGGGAAAAAAAAGGCAUGGUUGCCUAUUAUUUUACUCAGGAAAAGCCAGAAAUAUUCAUGUAAAACCCCAGGUAUUUUUUUUUUCUCUUUUUCUUUUUUUCUCUUUAUAGCCUGAGAGCAACCCAUUCCCCUCCGCAGCCAAACCCAUGCAUAGAUUUCAGGCUCUAUAGUAUUUGAGCAAAUCAGCAAGAGCUUUUAAACUGCAAUAAUACUCUAUUCACAAAGGUAAUUCUGCUUUUAAGACCAAAUAAACUAGAUUUAUUCGAAACCAAAUGCAUAACUCCUUUAGAUUUAUUCAAUAAAAUCAAAGAAAUUAUGAAAAUUUCCACCUGAUAACUUACUGGGCCAUACUGACUAGAAACAAAGACACAGUUUAGAGGAAAGAAAUACACGAGUACCUCCCCAAUUCCAAAGCUGCCCUUCCUCUGUCAGCACCAUAGUGAAAAAUCCACCACAAGAAACAGCAGCCACAGGCACGGGUAAUGCUUUGACUUUUGAAGGGAUACUAAGUCCUCCAGCCUCAUUUGGGCCCCGACCGGGACCAAGACCCAAUCUUCCUUCACCUUCAUCUCGACCCCAGGUAUAGAGUUCUCCUAUAUUUAACCAGUAAUAGACAGAAAAUUCAGAUACCUACAUGCUUUCUUUUUUUCAUUUCGUAACAAAUAUGAGACAACUAAUGAAAUAACUGAAGAACAUUUAAUCUAAUUAUAUAACUGAAGAUUUAUACAAAAUAGAAAGAGAAAAUUUAUACAACACUCAGACAACUAGUCAGCUACAUUUGUGUUCACAAAUGUGAUACAUUCUAUGUCUGGGGGUCUGCAACAGAGUGAGUCUAGAAACAAAUGGAAAUGCUUAACAUAGAAUCAGACAAAUCAUAUUUCACACCAGUGAUAUGUUUGUAGCAUUAACUAAUGAGUAUACUUUCUGUCCUAUGUAUUAAAACUCUUGAAGGAUAAUCACACAGUAACCAUACCAGAUUCAGAUGGUCUCAAGAGUCAAGACAGAGUUCUUUGACAAAGUUCUAUUACACGCAACAAAUUCGGUGAUCCCACAAGAAAGCUCUAACACAAAACAAAAUCCUUAGAUUGAAAUAGCAGAAGUGGCCAUCCCUCCACAAAAAAUUGCCAUAAAUUACAUACAAAUCCACUCUAUUUGUAAUGCAAGUAAGCACAAAGAAUAAUAAUAAUUAUUACAAUACAACAAACCUGACUCAGUAAUAGCAGCAGUGUGCAUCCCACUGGUUGCCAUAUGCUUUAUUUUCCCUUCCCAAGCUCCUUCCACCAAUCUAGGGAACAGCUCUCUAUGAUAGACAGAAUGCCCAAGUGCACCAAAACCACCAUAACCCCUGCAAACUUCAUUUCUAAUGAUAGAACCAUUACGUCAUUGGAAUAAACAAAUGUUCAAGUAAAUACAUCAAUUGUGCAAAUACAUAUAAACAGAUGUCUUCCUUCCCUUUUCUUUAAUCUUUCUCCACCCAAACACAACACACUAGAACCCCAUGAAUCAUCAUGUCUACCGGUUGUAUUGGGACAGUCAUCAAAUUAUAAAUAUUGAAUAUCUAAUAAAAAGGUUAUAAUUAUUGAAUAACCACGCACAUUUUACAAAAUUAAAGAGACUUUAAGUGGCAUGUAUUGAGAGCAACACAACUGGAAUGGUUGGUAAACACCAACUUUUACCUAGCAGCUAACUCUUUGCUUCUACCUAACUCUGGAAGUACAUUAGUAAAACAUUCUCAUUUUAUUCGGCCAAUAACUUUUUGCAGAUUAUUUACCCACUUAUGCGUGAAAAUAGCGAUUACAUUCCUCAACAACUACAGAGAAUAAAAGCCACGGCACUUUCAAGAUACCGAAACAUACCCACAUUUACUAAACAAAAGAGAUUUAAUUUUAAAAAAAUUGCAGAGUGGAUUAAGCACUGACCAAGUGAAAAGCUGACCAAGUGAAGUAAGAGCAACAGAAUGAACUCCACCAAGAGCAAUACAACGAACAGGAUCAUCCAAAUAAGGAUUCAAAGUAGGCACAAACGCAGCAUCCUCAUGCCCAAAUCCAAGCCGCCCGCCAUCUCCUUUGCCCCAAAUCCACAACUUCCCGUUCACCACCAACCCAGAAUGAAACAACCCACAUGAAAUCCCAAUAUCCACUUCACCGUUUUUAUUCCCGUCACGAUUACAAUCGCUAACAAGCUUGCCUGGAGUCUGUGCGAGAAAAUAGGGUUCAGACAAAAUGAGAUUUGCAACUGGGCCAGGGUAAAGUCCCGAUUCUUCAGUGCCUACGCCAAGUUGGCCAGAGGCGCCUCGGCCCCAUGAGAGGACCUGGAGAGUUACGGCAUUCUUUCGGUCCUCAUUUGGGUUGUCGAUUUCUGGGUUUUUGUAGAGAGUGGGAGCUUUGUAUCUGGUGGGUGAUGAAGAGGAGACGCUGCGAGUGAGAGUUGUGAGGCGUUGGCGAAGAAGCAUUGAAGUUGAAGAAUUUUAAAUUUGUGUGUGACAAAAGCCAAAGUUGAAGCAGUGAAAUUACCGGCUUUGGCUUCGGUUCAGUUCCAAGUUUAGGUUUUGAAUGUGAAAUUGCAGCAGAGUUGCUAACAGAGGCUACAUAGAAGAUGAAACAUGAUUUUGGGAAAAACAUAAAAAUAAAAAUUUGUGUUCAACGACCUGUCGGUUUAACUUUUAUUGGUUAUACAACAUGACAGUCGUGUGACUUAUUUUUUUUUAAUACGACAUUUGGUACGUCUUUUACUGGGAAGUAAAAGUGUUACGAUGAGUCGGUUUAAUUUGUAAAGAAUAUCCCUCAUGCGGUGUGAACUUUUCAUUCGACGUGAAGGUUGUACGACAUGUCAGUUUAAACUUUAGGCUGGUGUAAUUGCAGGGUGCGAUUUUUUCACUCCACAAUGUGUAAAUUCAUCCCUUUAUAUAUAUAUAUAUAUAUAUAUAUAUAUAUAUAUAUAUAUAUAUACACACAUUAUUUGAAAAAUUUAAGCUAAAGUAAAAUUUUAAACAAUUAAUUAAUUGUGUCAAACUCUUUACAUAAGUUUAUUUACUGAUCACUAAUGUUGUUUUAAUACAAUUUUUAUUUUAUUAUUUUAUUUUUAUAAUACGAAGGACUAAAUUAUUUAAAAUAUAUGCUUUUGUGUCAUAAAUUUAAAUAAUUAAAGAGGAUUAAAAUGGUGAAUAUCACCACCCAAAUUUAAAUAAAAAUAAUAAUACUUAAACCCCUUUUGAACAUAAAUUACGUGUAAGGACAACAUUUUACAUUUUUUAGUCUAUUGGUACACGACAAUCACCCUUUGAAGAUUGAAGUCCCAUAAAACUUUAUGUUUUAGACAAAUUUUAUUUGAGUUCAAAAAAUUACUUUAAAAAUUUGUUCAUAUUUAAACUCGAUAAAAUAUUAGAUUAAACUUUAAAGAAAAAAAUUACAUGACAUAUUUAUUGAUUUUAAACAUUAGGAACCUACAAGAAUAUCUAAAAUUAACUUUAUAAUAGCAUGUUAUUUGUCACCGCCUUAGACCAUGAUGGCGAUGCCAAAGCCUAGUUUAUGGCCUUGUGCCAAGUCGUGGCAGAAACAUGGGCGUGCUUGGAAGUAACAUGAAAGUAAGGCAAGACUAGUGCGAGGACUGGGAUGUGACAGCAAGUGCAAGCUAUUGAGAAAAGCGCGAGGGAGCUCGCACAAGAGCGUUUGCUGCCUCUCUCAAGCACAUGGGCGCCCGA
rnacentral:lncRNA from 1 species